ACAGAUGACAGACAGAUCUGUACUAUUGAGGACGAGUGUAAACGGACAAGAGAGAAAUUUUGUUUCGCCAAAGUUCGGAAGGGGAGGAGAAAAGUUCACACACAAAGGUACGGUCGAGAUUUGAACUUAGGACUAUUUGGGAGCACACUACGAUCUGGGCCAAUCCAACUAACACCCCAUUCCAAUCGUAACAAGAAGCAAUUUUUUUAUUUUUUUUUUCAUUUUUCUUAAAAGUAAAUGUAAGAUGGAAGCCAAUAUCAGUUAUAUGCUAGAGUUGAUCAUAUAUGAAUUGGAUUAAUGGAGGGGUUGGUAGUAGCUAAAAAUGCAGAACAAAUAAGACCUGCUUUGCCUUACUUUACUUUGCAUUGAGCCCACUACACUAACCGUUGUGGUCACUAAAAAUGUAGUAUCCCAAGCUAACCCACUAAUCAAGUUUUCCCUUUUUGACUAAACCACUCCUCAUUCUCUAACUUCCCCUUUUCAUAAUCCUUCCCCAUUAUUCUAAUCAUGGAUUAUUGUUGGAAAAUGUAGGUUGUGGGUACUUAAUCUUAUAUUAAACAUGGCAAUUAACCUUUAGUUAAUUUGGUCCAACUGCUGUGGUUGCUUGGUCUUGUGCCUAUAUAGCCUUGGUGACUGGUAUGCUUUUCAUCUGUAUACAUAUAAAAUUAUGAGACAACUCUCAAAAUUUCUUCAACAAGGAAAUAUAAAAAUGGAAAGGCAUAGAGAUCAAUUGAGUGAGGCAAAUGAUACUGCUAGUAAGAGUUUCUCAGAUGGUGGAUGUUGCUUGAGAGGGAAGAAUUAGUCAACAGGGUCAGAAGGUGGUUCAUGCAAGUCAGUCUGCACUAUUUUAAUUUCCUACUCAGAGUUCUGAUACAAAACCAUUAUGGUGACAAGUGAUAGAGUUAAAGCAUUCAACUCAAAUAUCUAGUAUUUUUUUCAGCUACCUUCUACCUUAUACCUUUUCGUUCCAUUUAUCCCAUUCCAUGCUCAUUCUUCACCAUCGAAAUUGUCUAUCUUCUAGAUCAAACUUUAAAAAUCAUCUAACCAUUAUAAAACAAAUAGAUGAAUCAAGUGUUAUAAUCAAACACUUAAUUAUCAUACAAGUAAUAAUAGCUAAUUGAUUUCUAAUUUGGUUGAUAUUUCGCAGGAAAUAUCCUUAAAAAGGAAGAUGAUCUCGAAAAUCAACGGUUUCAAUCAUCAUACAACAUUGCAGAAUGAAAAGGAGAAUGAAGAAAGUAGAAAAAGAGUGCACGAAGAAAAUGUAACUAGCAUUCCUCUAUCUUUAUACUGAGUAAAAAUUAGCCUUACGUUCAAGAUGUAGGAUAUACUCUCAACAGCAUGCACAAAGAAAGUUCAAUAUGAACUUGUUGAUAGGGUUGUAAGAUAAUUGAAUGGUCUUGAACUCAUAAGCAAGCUACUGGAAAAUAGUUUUUCAUGGUUAUUGGCCCCAAACUUGUAGUACUCACUGGAUUACUCAGAAGCACUUGUCCUUCUCCACAUUAGAUACAUACAUUGACUGAUACAUCAUAUAUACAUUAUACAUACAUGUAGUACAAAUAUUGCUUGGACAUUUGAUGGACCAAACUUAGGAGAGAUAGACAAGAAUUGGGGCAAUUCCAAAUAAUCUUAGGAGGGGACCGCCUACAAUAUGCUGAAGAUGGUGUAGAAUUCAAUCCACCCAAAGUACUAGUUUUUUGCCAUAUUUGUUGUUGUAUAUACUUAUCUUAAUAGGUUCUACACACAAUUCCAUAUCACCCCACGUGUCUCUGCAAAUAAAAUCAUACCAAGAACUGUGGAAAUAUAACUUUUAAGAAGACCCUGCAAAUAAAAAAAUUUAAGAAAGAACCCUAGAACCCCUCUCAAAAGAAGAAGGAAAAAGGAGCAUAAACUGCUGAUUGCCAGUGCACUUUGUAUCCCUUUUACUCAUAUAUUCUUUGUCAAAAGACUGGUCAGGGAGAACUUCAAGAGUGAAUCUACCUUAAAAUCUGAAUUCCACCCCAUUCUCAUUCACUUUUCUUUCUCUUUAGCUAAGCAAGCAAGCUUUCCUUUCGGUUCACUUCAUAAGCUCACAUGUUACCUUUUGAUUGUAUUGAUCCAAUAAGCUUUGGCCAUUAGAAGCAACAUGCUUACAGCAUGAAACUUAAUUACAUUUCUUAAUUAAAUCACUAAACACUGCAAACAAAAUUGUAUGAAGCUUGAUAUCUAGAUUGUUAUGCCAUAAAUGUUACUUAAGCUUGGUUUCUUAGGCUGAAGUGGCAGAGCUACAAUCCAUGUUAAUUAAGUUACACUUAGAAAAUUUGCACAUAAGUUAAUCUAAAUUACGUGAAAGGGAGAUUUGAAUUCGGGUGCAAAGUGGAGAAUACAUCCGCUCUAGCCAACUUACUUAGACUCUUGAGUAAGUUAAUUAAGCAUGAGUAAGACAAGUAAUUAGAUGUAGAAGUUACUUCGAUAAAUGGAGUCGACCCUCCCUAUGAUAUGAUGCCGUGGUGAAAACGUUGUCUCACUGCAUCAAAUCAUAGUUAAAUCCAAAGAAUACAAUAUCUAAUCACAAUGUCCUUCUAAUAAAAUAUUAAUAAUCACAACUAAUUAUUCGUCCACGCAGCUUGAGAGAAUCUGAUUCAUGGGACCAAUAUUGCUGGACAAGAUUUAUAUUAUGUUGGUUCAAAUCAAUGUGAGCUACCAUUUUGUUUGAAGUGACACGAGAAUUUGGACAUUUCUUAUAUGGACAAAACUUCUUUUGGGUUGAAAAUAAAAAACAAACAUAAAGAGGGUCAUGAAUUGAGGUGCAUGUUGAAAUUGGGUUGCAUAUGUGUCAUGUUUGGUUGUAGAAAUUAAACUUUCUCGUGAUUUAGUAAGUGGAGUUGAAGUUGUUUUUGACAUCUGGGCCCUCUCAUAUCAUGCAUGGAUUGCACACGCAGGUUUUUCUCCUUCCUUAAGCAAGAGGCUAUGAUUCACAUAUCAUUGCUAGAUAGAAAGCCAUGCCCAGUAUAUAUGCUUAUGUUUCCUUGUCCACAACAUACUAGGUUGAUGGGUGUUUCUUCAUAGCGAAUUACAAUGAUGCGAAUUCAACAGUUAAAUCUCUUGUGUGGUGGAAAUUUAACACAACAAACAAGAACCGUUAAAUCUUCACUACACAAACCGUCUAACGAUUCAAAAUAGAAAUCCAUAUUGAAUCCACAUAAUUUUAAUUAACAAUGAAGAAAGACCUUGGUUGAUAAUGAUCAUUGCGAAUCCAUCAUUUUCUUUCAUUUCAAAUUGUAUAUUUCACGCUCGAAUCAAUGUAACCCUAUAUGAUUGCUUACUUUGUGUAAUUAUUCUCCCAUGUUUCUACUGUUUAGUUGAAUUUCCUUUUCUCCUAAGUAAUGCAAAAGAGAUAUGGAGGGGCCAAGGUGCAUGAAUUACUAACCACAUGACACUUCACCACAGGACCAUUAUAAAUUUAUUCUAUAAUCCUUGUGCUGAGCUAGCCAUUACCUCUAAGCAUAGCUCAAUGUCGUUUUGAGGUAUAGUGGGGAUUGAAUUGUAAGAGUUUGGGAUCCAUUCAAAAGAUGAAACAUGUAGUCACAUACACAUAGAUCAUUUUCAACACUUACUGAAUUCAUUUACUUGUUAUGAAACCUAUCACUAAAUGAAUUGGUUUGGUUCAGAUGGUCUUCUAGUUAAUGUCCAAAUGAAUACAAUUCGAAAUGUUCUAGUUGAUCGAUUCAAGUGCACAUCAGUUUGAAUUUAAAACCGACCCAAUUCAAACCGUGCUCACCCCGACUCUUUCUUGGACGGCUAAAGUUGCUAGUACCCUAUUUCGACCUCUUUCCACACUUUCCACUUUUGGGCUUUGUGGACCAGAUUUGAUGAAAUUACAGUGUCAACAUUUUAUGGGCCAAUCACAGUACCACUCAACCCAACAAAAGAGCCCAUUGCCAUUGAUAGCUUCCUCAGCUCUCCUCCCAAACUCAGCAGUGCGAUAGCACCUCAGUACUGUAGAGGCUACACACCGCAGCGAAGUUACUCCUCUCCUUCUCUCUCUCUCUCUCUCUCUCUCUCUCUCUCUCUCUCUGCCACUUGCUUGACCAUUAAUUAUGCAAACGUUGCUAUCGCCGGCAGCUCGCGCCGGCUACUUCACGGCGGCGCCACCGCCAGCUGUCACGGCUCGGCCCUUAGCUUAUCAUCUCCCUCUUCGAUCAAUCUCCGACCGCCACGUGCCCAGCCACACUCUCUCUUCUUCUUCUUCUUCGUCUUUGUCUCUUCCUUCAUUUGCCGCUCCCAAUCACAGAGGAUCAAAGCUCUCCUUCACCACUGUAAGGGCUUCUUCUACUCCAAUUUCGCAGACAUUCACUUCCCCGAACGAUGAAUCCGAGAAGGCCAAGCUCCUCCAGGUUCUCUUUCUUCAACUUUGCCAAUUUUACUCUGUUUGUUUGGUUUCCGAGAAAAUGUAGGACAAUAUAAGAACAUGAAAUUUCAAAAAUUGCUAAUGAAUUGACCCGAAUUGGAAGCCAUAGAUUUGACAAUUACGAAUUUUGCAAUGGGUAGUGGAGGAUUGAUUGAAAAGCAAAGUGCUUUGUGUGGUGUGUGCACUGUGUAGGUAGCCAAAAGGUUAGAGAGCACAGCCAGGUACUUCAAGAGGUUGGGUGGUUUAGGGUUUUGGGGGCAGCUGGUGUGCACUGUUGUGGCCGCUGUGAUUCUUUCAUUUUCGGUUGUUAUAACUGGCAAGAUUUCGUCACCGCCUACUUUUUAUGCCACUGCCGGUGGGAUUGUGGCGGCAUUCAUUUCUGUGUUCUGGUCAUUCGGGUACAUUCGCCUCUCUGAUAAGCUUCGAAGAACCGCAAGUGACCCUGCAAAGGUAUUGUUCAAUUGUCAAUUGUGGGAAAGCUUGUGUGUUUAUAUUGAAUUGUAUGUGCCUUCUUGAAAUUGAUACAUAUAUGUGAUUAUACAUUUUUGUGGACAAAUGCUAUUUUGACUUUGUGCUUGAUGUGUGAAGUUCCAUGGACAAAUCUCUAAGUUUUCUGCGAUUGCACAUAUUACCUUGGUUGGCAGAGGCUUUUGAGGUCUACUCUUUUGCAUGUUGAAGUAUCAGGGUUUUAUUCUAUCCCGUUUUCUGGACUAAAUGAACUAAAAAUAUCUUUGUCAUUAUCGUCUCAUUAUUAAGCAUCUGAUUGAAGUUAGCUUAUAUUCCACUUUUCGAAAUGCUGUGAUAGAUAAAUGCCUCCAUUCUUUGAUGAGACCUUUUACCUUCUACAUCCGUGUCCACUGCUUCUAAUUUGCAGGCUCCUCCUCGUGCUGAUGUUAUAAGGAGCUUAAAGAAUGGCAUAAUACUGAACCUGUUGGGUAUGGGUGCUUCUGUUCUUGGCAUGCAAGCCACAGUGGGACUGCUGGUUGCUAAGGCUCUUACUUCCUCAGCAAAUCCAUAUUACCAGGGUCUCUCUCCUGGUUACAGUCCCGUUCUUGCCUUGGAUGUAUUCUUAGUGCAGGUAUUCAUAUAUCUCACUUUAGUUUUCAUUCUGAAACAUUAGGUUACUAAUGAUUGCUUAUGUCAAACCAUAUAGAUAUCACACUAUAAUAAAAAGCCGGAAAUUGUUUACAUUUUCAUUGCUGUAAUGAGCACCAGUUUGCUUCAAACUCUCAGAUACAGUCACCUUUAAACUCAAUGUAAUCCAUAAUUCAGAUUAACUUCUGAUAUACCACUGAACCAAGAGUAUUUGAAGCAGGAAAACUUGUAUAAGUUUGGCUAUGAUUUUUAGACAAGAAGCUUUAAGCGGGAGAAGACUGAUUUCAAUCUGUGUAUUCUUUUUGCAGGCAGCGGCUAACACCAUCCUUUCUCAUUUCCUGGGACUUGUUUUCUCAUUAGAGCUGUUGCGCUCAGUGACAUUGCCACCUUCAGAAGGCAUUCCCAUUCCUAGGAUCGCAUAAGUUCUGACUCUCUAUCUUUUUAGCAUGGUGUGUCUUGCUAAAAAUGCUUUGAGGCCAUGAUUUUUUAAGUGUUUUCUCUUCUCCAUGAUGUUAUACAACGAACUCGGUUCUGUAUCAUAUUAGCAGAUUUUGCUGCUUUUUUCCAAUUGCAUUUUUAUGUGAUUACAAAUACCAUGGUAAUUGUAGCAAGUGCUGCAAGUCUCAACAAACCCAUCCAAGUAGCAAAUAAAAGAAUAUGGAUGGUAAGAAAAUUCUACAAGUUGAAUUUCCAAAUAUCACGCUCCAAAAGUUUCUAGGCAAACUCAAAUAACGACAUAUAAAAGAUUGCAAACCAAAACAAUCUAUAUGAUUAGAAUGAUGAAAUUCUCUCUCUUUCACCCCAUAUAACACGUAAAGAUCAACCACCAAGAUCCAAUAAUCCAAUAACUAUUGACCAAAAACCUAACAAGAUUAUAAGCCCCAGAGCCAAAAACAAUGUAACGCUGAAACUCAAAUGUAGAAACUAACUGGAUCCACCCAAAUGUUGUCAACCAUGCCGUCUGGCUGUCAAUAUGUAUAGCAGCAUGCCAACAAAAAGAUAACCGAAGUACUACUUCAUACGUUGUAAACCGUCUUUAAGGCUGUCAUCACACUUUUCCUAGCUCCGUGAUACCCUGCACCAUAUAUUGAUGUGUUUCAGUAAAUCAGAAGCAACUAGUAAAACCAAACACGGCUAACAAUCCCAGAAUCUGAUGGUUUGACUGUCGCACAAAAGACAAGAUAAACUACAAAAAACUUGAUACCUGGUAUGCAUAGACAGUGAAAUAAAAUGAACGAGCAGUCCAAAUGUAACAGGAAAAAACUUGAUGUCUAUUGCGGAACGAGAAAUUAUAGAGAAAGGGCUGAUAUCAUAAAGACAAUCUUCAAUGACAAUACUCUGUAUGAACAAACAGUGAUUUUUGGAGACAAUAUAUGCAAGUAAAGUACUUCAGAAUUAGAGCUUGAAGGCACCAAAACCUUUUCAAUUUAUCAUGUAUCCACAAACAAUAACCAAGUUAAAUUUAUAGUUAGAUUAUUGAUAUGCAAAUGCACAUCAAAAAAUAAAUAUUAUGGGUAUACACUCAUAUGGGUUCUCUUGGUCUACAGAAAUUUUACACUUUCAAAUGAGCUUCACUUUAAACAAAGUAAAAACAGUUAAGAUAAUUGGUCUGUCACAUCAACCAAAAGUACCAAGCUACGAAUGAAAAACAUUAUACUUUGUUUGGAAAGUAAAUGCAGUAAUAAUCCAAAUACAAAAUGUAUAGUCAGUAUAAAACUAAUCCAAAUGACAAAUUGAGCAUUUUUGUUUUCUAGAUAGAGAGAGAGUUGGAGUGAGUUGGAGGAAGGGGUACAUCCUACAGCCUACACCAUGUGCACCAUACAAACAAAAUCCAGAGAUUCUUUCAAAUCAACAGGACAGAUGGAUUCAGCAAACCAGCAUAUAUAACAAGCAUAGCCUCAACUAAUUCCUCUAAUGCCUCAAUGCACAAUUUUUAGGGAUGAGGAGGAAGAAGAAAUAAUAUACAUAGGUAAACAGAAGAGUGUGUCGCAAGUGGAGAGAAAGAGAGAUCACACUUACCUACUGCACCUUCUUCUCCUUGUUUGAUCGCAAUGGAAUUUUCUUUAAGAUGCUAUCAUCAAUUUUCCUGUACUGUGUUUGUAUUGCUCUAUUUGCUACAAGAAGCUUCUCAUCAAUGUGGCCCUGAUACUUAUCAUACACUACUGGCACUGAAAGACUAAGAACAACCCCUGCACAAUAUUUAAAUAAAUGUACAUAAAUAAAUAUAGUAAAUCUGGCAAGAAUAUGCACAUAAAAUAUAUAAAGAUACAAACGGCAGAAAAGAGCUUACCAAUGUAGACAAGAGUGAGGAAGUUGAAGAAGCUUCCGAUGUAAGAUACUAGCCACAAGCAAAAAGCAACCUGCACACACAAAGCGAAAUUUCCAAAUAGUAAAAUAAACCAUGUUCUGUUCAAUGCUUUCCAUAAAAACCAAUUCACCUCAUUGUCCCAUAAACCUAGGGCGGGAAGCAAUUACACCAAACCUGAAGAAAGAGUUUCCAAUUUCGGCCAAUAGCAAUGUCUCGUGCAAUAGAGAGAACACGAUUAAUCCAAGCGUGCAGUGCAUCAGCAGCCUUCACGACAGAGGCCUCAGAGAUUUCCAUAUCAGGGAGAGGCGGCAAAGGUCUGAAUGACAGUAGAUGUUGCAAUUCAUUUUAAAUUACCUCAAACUAAAAUCAAUGCUCAGAACAGUUUAAAUCAUCACCAAUCUUCCCCAAAACUAUUGAUUCUAUUUCAUCCGUCUCAACUCGUGUUUAUGGUUACUUUCUUUGCAAAAUAAAAAUUCAGUAAAAGUACUUCAAAAUUCAAAUUUAAUAUUUUCCUACUGAAAGUACUUCCAAUCUAAGCUAAGAGAACCCAGAAAUUCUCAGUAUAAUGACAACAAUAGUACAGUAUACCCAAAAAGAAAAGGAUGAAAUCGUCAAGAAUUAAAGGGUACCUGUUGAGAAGGGAAGCAGAUUUGGCCCAUAGGAAGAGGAUGACCACAAGAAGCAGUAGAACAUUGGCCACAAAGGACAAGAGGUUGUAACCAGCUCGCUCAAAUAGGAACCACGAGGAUGCUGUAGAGGUUAGCAGUAAAACUCCUCCACUCCAUUUCUUCCACAGCAGCACAUCAGCAACUACCAGAACCAAAAUUAACAUAAUUAAUUACAAUCAAAUCAACAAGAUUAUAUUGAAUAAAAAUGUAGAAGUUACAUAAUUCAAAUCUAUCGAAUGUUAGAAACGAUAUUAUAUUCAGUCGUCAUCAAUGGAAGUAGAUGGGAUCCAGACCAAAUCGGAAUCGGAAAUAUUCCUAUACUGAUAUACAAAUCAAAAGCAUCUGUAUAAAUUAUCUGUGUGCAUGUAUAUAUACAGAGAGAGAGAGAGAGAGAGAGAGAGAGAGAGAGAGAGAGAGAGUACCAUGGCCACCGCCGAGAGCUUGAUGAACGGAAAUGCGACGAGGAGGGACAGAUUCUCCCAUGGAGAUUAGGGUUUUCAGAGAAAAGAGAGAAUUUGGAGAGGUAUUUUGAUAGGGAGGGAGAUGGAAAUUACAAAAUGGAUGAACUAUAAUUAAAAAGAAGAAGAAACAUAAACGUACUUUUUUUAUUUUUUUUAUUUUUGGACUGUAAUUAACUUCUCAGCCCAAACUGCUAACUGGGUCUCUGGGUUAAUACCUGCCCUCCCAUAUAAUAUAAUAAAUCUCAUCUUAACUCAUAGAAGGGUUUUUUUUUUUUUUUUUUUAAUUUUUAUAAUAAGGGAGAUUCACUAUAUACUCAAUAUAUGAGCCCAAAUUAUUUUUAAAAAAACUCUAUAUGAAAUGGAUUUUAGAAGCACACCCAAAGCUCAUUUACAACAUAACAAAAAGGCUUUUAACUUUUUUUAAAUUACAAAACUGACAUUGAUUUCUUAAAACAAACUCAACCCAAAACCUCAUAAAAAAGUUCAAAACACUUAAUAGGGCAUCAAAGUAAUUUAAUAAUCAAAAUUAAAUUCAAUAGACAACUGUCAUUUGUUGGGUUUUUUUUGGAUUUUUUUAUAGAAAUUAAAUGGUGUAGGGUUUAUUUAUCUAUAUAAGAAUGGAUAUAUGACUAAAUAUCUCUUUUUUUAGGGGAUUGUUUGACACUGCUUUUGUAACGGCUCAAAGUACUUUCUAACAAAAAACAUUUUUGAUAUUGGUAAAAAAACUUUAAAGUGUUUACGGGUCUUAAAAACGAUUUCUUGAAAAAGCUUGUCUUCAAGAAUUAUUUGAAUUUUUAGGAAUAAUUUUGACGUACUUGUAAUAAAAAAACACUUAUAAAAAAGUGCUUCCUACAUAAGCAGGGCAAACAGAAAGUAUGUUAGAUUAAAUUAAGUAUUUUGUAUUUGAUCAUAGGACCGUCCCGAUUAUCAUAAGAGAAGAGAGCUUGACUAAAUCAUUCAUCUUAACUGGAAACUAAGAUGCUAUAUAGAAAUAGAAACCAACUUUUAGAAAAAGAGGAUAAUAUAUAGAAUGUCUUGUGUUAUAUGUUUCCUUCCUUACAUGCGAAGCAAAGGCAAAGGGGACCACUCUGCGUUAGGUAACAUUCACAGGGAAGCAGAUCAACUGCCAACUAUCAUACUUGUACCGGGUGAAACAAACCCUUUAACAAACAUGAUGCAAUUGCAAGCAAACAAUUAGUACAUAUGCCAGUCCAGAGAAGAACGUGAACAUCCCAUGGAGACAAAACCACAUCAUUUUUGUUCAACAUUGCAUUUGAUAACAAGCCAAAUACGAUUGAUGGAUCCAUUAAGAAAAUACAAAACCCGUUAAACUAAAUUUUUUUUUCUGAUCUCUCGGGUUGUUACAUCUCAGAAUCUCGGAUAAUACAUACAAUCGAAUUCAGGUCACAAACAUGGCAAAUUAUAGACUUCAGAAAAACGAAAUCCCAAUGAAGUUGGUGCGUAUUUGUUCCUUAUGUCCGUGGAUACCAAGCUUUAACCAAUACAUCAAGAAUUAUAGCUUAUCAAAAGCUUGUUCAGUUUGAUCAUCAGAGUUCUCCUCAUCCUCAUCCGUGGUCUCUCCUUUAUGAUUCUCUUCGCCACCUGAACUCGUUUUAAUCUUCUUCUCCUUUUUCCUUUGCUUUUUCUUUUGACGUUUCAAUCGCUUCUUUGCUGUCCGCUCUUCUGCUGAUUUUAAUCUUUCCUCCCUUCUCAUAAUGAACUCGGCCUCUUCUUUCCUUCUUUGAUAGUCCACCUCCAUCCUAGCAAGUCUGUCUUGCUCUUUCCGUCUCAUCUGCCGAUACUGUUCAGGCACAAUUUGGGGUGAGAAAAAUAUACAUGAAAUUUAGCCGCCCGCUUAGCGUCCAACAAAUCAUAACUAAUCAAAUAUUCCAAUGUCAAGCAAAGAGCAGAUGUAUGAAAAGAAAAUUAUAGUUUUAUGUGUUCAAAUACUGAUCAAACGUAUCAACUAUCCAUCCCUUGAGACUGAUUCAACAUCAAACUCAAAACUAUGGAGAAGAAAAAGGCUGUUUCAGCAAGCAACUGGCUGUUUUCUAUUGCAAUACCCUAGGGCACAGCUCUGUUAGCUUCAAUUCAACUUCCUUCAGGCUGACUGGGGUACAAAUCCGGGCUUUCUUGUCCCUUAAUUUAAACUUGAAAUAAGAAAAACACUGCACUCUACUGCACUGCUCAAGAUAGCAGGUUUAUCCAUCCCUUGUACAUAUAAUAACAAAAUACAACUUUUCAAAGAGUACAAUACAUUGUUUAAAUCGGGAAGGUCCCCAAGUUCAAGCAGAACAUACUAUUUCAAACAAGAUAGAGAGACAGAGAUUCGUCUAUAAGAGAAAAAAUUCGCUAAUUAAGGUCAUGUACUGCAAUCCACAUGCUAAAGUAAUUAAACACUUUCAUGAUACCCUAUUGUCCACACAAAUAAACCAUAUAAAGUGCAACCACCAUACUCAAAAUCCAGUCAGCCAACAAGGGCACCAAAAUGUUUCCACCAAUCCCAAAGGAACACUGAAUAGUAAACCUGCUUUACUCCAUGACAGAAUCUCUUUGAUUGCCAAAAAAUUGAGCAUGACUCGGGUGUGCAACUCUUGCAUCUCAGUAACACAUUGUUCUACAUUAUGGGACAUACGUGGCUGCCCCAAUGUACUGUAACUUGUUUUUGCAAUUAGGCUAAGCACAUACAAUAUAACAACACCCUCAAUAUACUAGCAGUGAAUCUUACUAAAAUAAAGAAAGACUUGCUCAAUCCCAAAAUUGAAAAACCCUAAACUCCUUACUUGAGAGUUCAAUGGCCCCCAGUCUCUGCAUAGUCACACACUAUGCAUGGGAUGACAAACACUCAAAUACCACCUCAUGGCAAGUAAAUUCCAGAUUUUUCCCAUGGACAUAGGUAAAUGUUUUACCAUUGGGGUUCUAAGCCCAAAAGUAAAUUCAAAUUCGAAACCAAAGGUCCCUAACUGCAUUACUAAUGUUUUAUACUCAGCUAUCUAAAUUCUGAAUAACCAAAUUUAUCAAGACACCCCAAUAGGCUACCCUACGUAUCAUCACUCAAAAUACUCCAAUUUGUUCAGUAAUUUCGUCAAAUAACCAUAAAUAUAUAACUAAUAUAGUAACAUCCCUCAGCCAUCUAAAUUCUGAAUAACCAAAUUUCUCAAGACACCCUACUAGGCUAAUAUAAUACAUAUCAACACUCAAAGUAUUCCAAUUUGUUCAGUCAUUUCAUCAAAUAACCAUAAAUAUCUAAUUAAUACAGUGACAACACAGUCACCAUUGUGAUAUUGAAUCAGCUAAUAUACAUACCUGAUGAAAGUCGCCGGAGCCCGACCCGGCGGAGCUACCUGAGGUGUUGCUGACGCGGACGGGGACAUUUUCCAGAAUCCUCCGGAGCUUGAUCUCAAGGUCCUCUUCCUCCUCCUUGAACACAGGCGGCGUAUACUCCACAAGCGCCGUCGAGCUGGCCGUUGUCGGUGGCUUUGGCGGUAGCGCUAAUUUCCUUUCAGGCGCCGCCACCAGUUGCAAGUCCCCGUCUUUGGGUCCGCCCGACGACAUGUCGUAGAAGAGAAUCCCUAAUUUCUGAUUCAGGUGUGGAGUGUGAUGUCAGAAUUUGUGGAUUCUGAGAUUGAAGAGGGACGUCCAGAGAUUUGAAGAACCCUAAUGGCAGAUAGAGUGUUGUGACUAUGGGUUUAAUUUAGCGCCAUCCAGAAUUCGAAGAGGGUUUUUAUAUGUUGCCAUUGGUUCUUGUACGAGGCCACCCGUAAAAAGGAUUUGGGUUGGGCUGGGCUGGGCUGGGCUCUACCCGUGCCUCAAGCAUGUUCCUAUUCUUUGCCUUUUUUCUUCACUAGAGUCAAUAGGGAAAUCGAGGUCUUGAAAAACAAAAACAGAGAAAUCGAGUUGCAAGACACUUGUAGUUUAUGUGGUUAAGAAUUAUUAUCUCUGCACUCGGUACCCCAAACUGUCAAAUUCGCUACAAAAUGAGCCAACCAAUUCGGUUAUCUACAAACAUGCCCAACUUAAUAUUAUGCAAUUGUGUUCAUUUUUAUUAUUUUACUAAGGUAAACUUGUUUUUUAAAGGAUACUAGACUAGAGGAUGGUUCAACAGCGAGUAAACAUCUACUAAAGCAUUAACCACAAAGUUCGGUUCUCUAAAAAUAUGCAGAAUCCCAACUUUCUCAAAAGACUACAUAAGCAUUCUCUCUCAUAUGUUGAACAAUGAAUCAAAUAUGGCGACUUAGCGCGUCACCAAUGUGAAGCUUCCUAAAAAUAGCCUGAAAAAAACACUUCUAUUUGAAACCUAAUUUGUACAUUUGCGCUCUUCUUAUGUCUACACUUUCACAUCCAAUUAUCAAAGCAUAAAGAUACAGUACUAACAAAUUGUUGGUUCCUCUUUUUAACGUAGAAAGAUGUGAAUUCGAAAUCCAGUGUUCCUCGUGCUGAUAAAAAAAAUUCGCAGUGUGGACAUGCAUGAUCACCCAUCUGAAAAACACAGCAUUGCUAAAAGUAAUUCCAAACGAAACUCUCAAAUAGCGUUCCCAUUUUCCUUUAAUUUAGCAAAAGCAAGAGAAUAUUGUUCAGACCUUUUCAGAUGGGCUUGGAUCUAGCUGAACGUAAAGAAAAUAAUGCAGCAAAAACCUUUUGUUUUCCCUUUUCAUGUUCUCGUACAUCAAUGGAAUAUGGGGCAUAAAAUAACUAAGCAUUGUUCCCCUUUUAGAGAGCUGCAAAGCAUAAUUAACUAAGCUUGAUGAUAAUUAAAUAAAUAAAAGAAGACUAAACGAAACAUCCCCGACGCUUCGCAGCCACGUGCAAAUCGUUCUUAACAUAUGCUUAAUGCAAAACCCAUAAUCCAAUGCUGAUUAGUAUUUAAUUAAUGACAACAUACCUAAAUCAAACUAACAUGUUUCUGGCAGAGGAUAUGGUCUGCUGAUGCAGAACUUGUGCCCCAUUAAACAAAAAGCAAAGAGUUGGGUUUGGUUUUGUUUUGAGGUGCUUGCUUCUUAUUUCAACGGUCACCAAAACCUUGUCGUUUAGUCAUCAAAAUAGAAUUAAUUAAAGAAAUAUGGGAUGUAAAAAAAAAAAUUUAAUGGAAAUUAGUUUUAUGGUACAAUGAAUGCAAUCAUGUGCAAUGCCUGGGAAAAGCAUGAUGCACUCUACCUCAGACGAAACAUCCUCGAUUGUCCACAAAUCUCAACCACAUGUACUGAUUGUAUCUCUACUAUUUAUAUUUUAUUUUUGCCUUUAAUUCUAUAUAGUUUAGCCUAUCUUUAAUGAAGUGUUUUUUUGGCGUACUUUAUUCUUGUGAAUGUUAGCAUUCAAGAUCUCACAUUGUAGAAAUAGCAUAAUUUAAAGUAUUUUAAGAGCUCUUCGGCACUCUUUUUUUAGAGCAUUCGUAAUUAUGCACCUUAUUUUUUUUAGUUAAAAUGUAGCUAAAGUCACACAAAAGCUAUUUUAUGAGCUCCGUAUUAAAUUUGAACUCCAAUCAUACUCUCUAGUUUAGUGGUCAUAAAUACUAUAAAUAAAAGUUUAAAAUAUGCAUAAAACAAAGCAGUAUUAAAUUAUUUGGAGUCACUAGGAAUCCUUUCUCUCUCCUCAAAUUUAGGAGCCCAUAUAAAUCUCCCUAUUUUAAGAGGUGGAUAGGGAACAUGGUUGGAUUAGUAUUUUUCCAAUUCCUACCUAAAAUUUGUUUAAGGCACCAUUGGUUCACGGAAUGAAUUUAAGGAGAAAUCACUUCCCAUGUCAUUUUCCAAGAGAUGAGAAAUGGAAGGUUUUCCCAUGUUUGGUAAUGUUAGGAAAGUAACCGGGAUGUAUCACUUUAUUUCUUUUCUCAUGCUUGUUUUGAGUAGAAAUGGAAAACAAAAUUUGUAUAAUUUUUCAACUAUACUCAUAUUAAAUCAAAUAAAAAAAAAUAUUUAAUGAUAUAUUGUAAUUCUAAAUUGUUAAUGGGGACAAAAUGGUCAUGAAAAAUAUACAUUUAAUGUUGGCUCAUUUUCCCAAAUUUUCUCAUGAUGAGAGAAAACAAAACUCAAAGGGAGAAGAGGGCUUCACUUUCCCAUGUAUGGACUUAUCAAAUAUGGGAAAACAAUUGAUUUCUCAUCCAUAAACCUCAUUUCCCAUGAUAAAUUUUUAUGGAGCCCAUUACAUAUGCUAUACAAGCUAGUUUUUAUAGGCAAAUUCUACCUAUGGACUCUUAAUAGUAACUUUGUUGCAAGUGCUAAAGUUUAUAUGAAAUUAGAAUUCUUUAUUUUCAUUGAUAAAACAUUUUCUCUCAAGCUUGAACACUCACUACUAGAAAAGGGGCAAAAGCCACGGUUAUUAUAAAGUAAAAUUGUUUGUUCAAACUGUUACAAUUCAUGUGUGUCAAAAGUUAGACAAGAAUAAAUGAAGAAAAUAAAUGAAUUUCAAAUGAUUUAUUGCAUAUAAUUGUUUCAAAUCCAUUUCAUAUAUGCUAAGUCUAGUUAUUUCAAAUAUAUUCAAUUUUGAUGUUUUCUAGUUUUUGUAGCAAAUAACCUUGUUGUCAAAUCCAAAUCGUUUAUUUCAAAUUCCUCCAUCCAAACAGAAUCAAUUUUAAUGCUGAAGUUAUUUGCAUUGAAUUCUCAAAUCAUUAUUUGGAACAUUUCUAACAAUUUAUAGAAAAUAACUUACAUGAAACGAGCUUAUAUCACUAUUCUCUGUAUAUAAGAAUAGUGAUAUAUGCUCAUUAUAUUUAAAUUUAUCGGAAAAAAUAUGAGUGUUUGUUUCAUUUGUGGAUCCAUAUGGGAGCCAAAGGCUAUUGCCUCCUCUCGACCCUAAUCUUAUUCAAUUAAUUUUUUGAGAUAUUUAGUCAUAUACCUAUUUUUAGCACUAAUAAUAUAGAUAAACCCUACGUCAUUUAAUUUAUAUAAACAAAUCCAAAAAAAAAUCCAAAAAAUGACAGUUUGCCUUAUUGAAUUCAAUUUUGAUUAUUAAAUUACUUUGAUGCCCUAUUGAGUGUUUUGAGUUUGUUUAUGAGGUUUUGGGGUUGUGUUUCUUUUAAGAAAUCAAUGACAGUUUUGUAAUUUAAAAGAAGUUAAAAGCAUUUUUGUUAUGUUGUAAAUAAGUUUUGGGUGUGUUUAUAAAGUUCAUUUUUUUAUGAUUGUUUUAUAAUUUGGUCUCCUAUAUUAGGUAUAAUAGUGAAUUUUUCAAAUUUUUUUUUUGGACGGGGGUGCCGAAUUACUUUGAUAAGACGCGAGCAAACCAAAAUUUGUUUGAGCACUUCUUCAUCUAACCUCAACGACUAAAAUUCAUGAAUACAUGGUUUGUUUAUGAAUUGGUGUUUGAAACGAACCGAACUUGCAUAGUCAACUUCUUGGGUUUUCGUUUUCGUUUUUUCUUUUGGUACUGUAGAUUGAUGAUGUUGACUGAGGAAGGCUAAAACGAAAUUCCUUUUGGACGACAAAUAAAUUCAAAACAAAUUAUUCUUCUCGAUGAAACUUUAUUAUGAGGGACAAAUUUGGCCUAUUUCUAGAUUCCUCUUGAUAUGCAUUGGCAUAUUGCUAACCAAAACGAAUUCUGACUGGUUAGAAUUUAAUUUAUUCCUCCUUUUAAGGAAAAUAGUUUUGUUUAUUCCGAAACUGAUACACUUCAAUUUGUCUAUGAGUUUUUUUUGUGUCCUUCCAUCCCAUGAUUUUAUGAUCAAUUGGAGAGCAUGAUUCGAAUGUGAGAUCUCUACCAACCGCAAGAAGAGCGAGAGUUAGUUGAUUCAUGUAACCAUAUUGUAUCAUUUUUACAUACGCGUGAGUCGAACUUAAAAUUUUCUUAAAUAAAACAUAAUUAACUAUCAUUAGACCAAAAGUUAGUUUGUAACAAAAAAUUGACACAAUAAAAUAAUUCCUUAAUUAGUCUUUACCACAAAUCCUUAUUGGAGAAACUAUUUCUUGCAACGUAAAUUGUUUGGGUAAUAUUAACUGAAAUUUAAUGAGAGAAAAUAGGAAAUUCGAGAGAGUAAAUAUAAUAAUGUUCUUGGUAUCAGAUGUAAACAAUUCAUUUUGAAAUUACUAAAAUUCCUACCAUUUGAAAAGAAAAAGAGAAAUCGCGAUAACAUGACAAGUUGUCUAUCAAGAACAAAUUCCACAUAAUUAAUUAAAUAAAUUUUUAAAAUUUUGUCCACGUAGUAAAAUAUGGGUGAGUCUAUGCGGCAACAUUGAUUGUCACGUCAUUAUUUAACGUAAAACAUGAUGGUUGGACUAACGAAUGUAUGAAAAUGAUACGAAAAUAAAUGUUAUGCAUACGACAUAUACGAAAAAAAUUUAAUAUGCAACUCGGUAAACUUCCACUUAGUAAAAUAAAAAUUACCCAUAUAUAUAUAUAUAUAUAAUCAGAAAAUGAGUGUGUAAGAAACUUGGACUAAACAAGUACCAAAGCACAGAGUUGUUAGGUAGCUGUAUCAACAGAAAUCUGGUACUGAUCCGUUGAUGCUUAUCUUCUAUAAUUAGCUAACUCAUUAAUUAAUUAAUUCCCAAAUUUACAACUCCCAAAUUCAAAUUUUAAAUUAAGCCAGCAAAUGCCUACGGUGUCGUUUUCAUCACUCAACAUACUGUUAGAAGUUCGAUGAUGACCGCCUGGUGUCGGUAGACACUGAAGGCCGUUGGCGUCUCAUAGUCUCAGCCGCGCUCCAGGUAUACAGCCUGGACUGACAGCUUGUCAGUCAUGACCCGACUUCCCAUUUCUCGACCGCUCUUGUCGUUUUCCUCCACCUCAGCACUUCCGUGCACCCCAAAUAAACAAUAAAACAAAUAAAAUAAAACAAAAUAAUAAAAAAAAAGUUAAGAAACCGAACCAAAAUCUUAAAAUCUCUCACGUAAUGCUCUCCAGCCUGGCUCAGUCAAACUUAUCCUCAACUACCUCUAAUCUCUCCCCAAUUUCUCGCGAUAUUUUCACAAAUAACUUCUUAUUUUCUCUUUUUUUUACUUUAUGCGUUUUACUCAUGUGGAAAAUGAAUUUGAAAAUAGAACAUCAAUGUUUGGUUCCAAGUAUAAAAAAUAAUUUCUUAUCACAUGAAAAUAAUUCCUUAUUCUCAAGGGUUUUAUUUUCUCUUCACACGGAAAAAAGUCUAGAAAUAUAUACACUUUUUUCAUAAUCAAUCUAUCCACAUUUUAUAAUUACAAUUUUAUUCAACAAUAAGGAUAAUAAUAAUAAUUUUAUUAUUUUAUAUAUUUCAUAUUUUUAACUAUAUAUUUAGAAAACUAAACAAAGAAUAUAAAGCGAUAUCUCAUACUUACGUUCCAACAUUACUAAACAUCAUAACUGAAUUUUCUAAUUUUUUUAAAAAAAAUAACAAAAAAAAAAAAUUUUCGUCAAAUUCUUUUGUGAAACUAAAUAGGACCUCAGAAACUUCCAUAACUGCAACCAGUCAAAACGGGAAACUAACUCUUAACGCUCUCUUUCUCUCUCUCGCGAGAGAUAUUGCGCGAUGCCGAGAUUUUAGUGGGAGGAGGAUUCUCAGCAAUCCACAGGGCCUACGUGGCAACGCGUGGUGGUUAUACAGCUGUAGAGUGAUGUAACGGGUAAUGCAGCAGUACCGGUUGCCAUAACGCCCGUUACCCGAUUCGGUUAACCGGCCCUAUCAGUUACCCUAGCCUCUCCUUUAUAAACCCCUCUAACUCCUCUCUCCCUCUCUCACAAAAUCUUAAGAGCCUACGAGGCCGAGACUCUCUCUCUCCUCAAAACCUCUCCGCGCCUCUCCCAAUCUCUCUCCUCCAAUUUUGUAGAAUAUUUAUCCCAAUUUUAAUUUACGUUUCACUUAUAUCUAAGGUUAGGGUUUUUCUGAUUUCGAAAUGGAUCAACGAGAAUCGGCAAUGGACUCGUCGGCGCAAGCGCAGAGAGAACUGGAUCGGGUCAAGGGUCCGUGGAGCCCCGACGAGGACGAGAAGUUACGGCAGCUGGUACAGCACCACGGCGCUCGCAACUGGUCCUUGAUAAGCAAGUCGGUACCGGGCCGGUCCGGCAAGUCGUGCCGCCUCCGAUGGUGCAACCAGCUCUCGCCGGAGGUGGAGCACCGGGCCUUCACCCCAGAGGAGGACGAGAUCAUCGCCGGGGCCCACGCCAAGUACGGCAACAAGUGGGCCACCAUAGCCAGGCUCCUCAACGGCCGUACGGACAAUGCGAUCAAGAACCACUGGAACUCGACGCUGAAGCGAAAGUUCUCGGCGAUCUCGGGAAACGACGAUGGACCAACGAUCGACGACAAUCACUUUCGGCCGGAGAAGAAAACGGCUACCGCAGCGGUGUCGUUUUCUGGCCUCUGUUACAGCCCUGGGAGCCCCUCCGGAUCCGAUGUCAGCGACUCGGGCGCGCCCGCCAUCUCCUCGUCGCACGUGUUCCGGCCCGUGGCGAGAACCGGUGGAGUAUUGACUCGCGAGUCGCCUCCGAGUCAGAACGACAGAAAGAACGAAGCGCACGAGCCGUCGACUCUGCUGACUCUGUCUUUACCAGGAGUCGACGAUACGCCGUCGCACGAGUUGCCCGUCCUUGAAUCGGCCGCUCGCCGAGUAGAAGGAACGGCGUCGUUGCAGCCCGAGACUAGUAAUGCUGGUAAUACGCUGUCGUUCGGGACGGAGUUUUUGUCUGUGAUGCAGGAGAUGAUAAGAACGGAAGUGAGGAGUUAUAUGGAGGGGAUGUGCUUACACAGUGAGGGUGUGAGAAAUGCUGGGGUUAAGCGCAUUGCCAUCAGCAAGCUUGAUUAAGAGUUCAAAAUGAAAAAUUAAUCAGGAUUAGUGAGUUAAGAAAUCAGAAUUAGAGAGUGGAGUUGAGAUGAGAAGCCACACAGGCACAAAAACAAAAAAAGACUGUCGUUUUUUCUUUUUUAGGAGAAAAAAUAAAAUUUUUGAGAAUGUACAGAAGGUGAAAGACCACAGUUUAGAAAUUUAAAUUUUCUUUCGGUUUUUUGGUUGGACUCAAAUUCGCUGUUUUUUUUAUUUAUUUGUCAUCGUGGUUCGAUUUGACACUGGCACUGUUGUUAAAUUCCAACCAAACCAUAACCGAUUUCUGCUUAUCGAAGAAGAAAACUAUAUUUAAAAUGAAAAGAGUAAAAACGGAAAAAAAUGGUUGUUUAAAAUUAGGCCCGUUUUUGGUACGGUGCGUACUGAAUGACGUACAACUUUUGGACGGAAAAGCAUAUGGUUUGGUUGGACUUUUGACUUUUCAGAUUUUGUAUUUUUUGGGUUGUAUUUUGUAUAUUCGUUUCGUAGUGGUUACAGUACUUGUCAGUACACACCUCCUUUCUUGAGUAUACAAAUUUGUUUUUUUCGUCCAAAUUAUUCCCCACCCAAAUACACGUGAAGUCCAGAUUUUCAAAUUUGAAAAGAAAAUAAAUUUCCAACUACCGUGUUUUGUUUUUAUUUAUUCAGAUCCCGUACUGCAUUUGGAGUAUUUGGGAAAUUUUUUUCCUGAAAAUUGAUCAUGUGAUUCUUAUUUGCAUUAUGAAUGUAGUCUAGCAUCGUAUAGCACUGUUGAUAGUUGAAUGAGUAUCAACACAACAUAUCAUGAUAAACCUUAAAAGAUUUGAACAAAGGAAAUUGAGUCACCAUACCAAAAUUAGGCAGGUAGGAGUCAUGGAAGGUUGACCCAAACUUAAACAUGUCUUAGCAAAAUGAAGAAAGAAGUCAAGUUUGAGUUUAGGAGGAGUUUGGAGGGUUUGAGGGUUGCUAGGCAUAGCAAAAGAAUAUCAAAGCCUUGUAACGAACAUUUCAUAUACCAUGUAUCUUGUAUGUUAAGCUUCGACAUUUAAGAUUGCGUGUUUAAAUUCAUUUUCCUCAAUAUCGUUUGAGUGUUAACUAGUCUUUGGUCUAGUGAUAUUUGUCUUCAUUUGGUUAGAAGAGGUCUCGUGUUUUAUGUUCAACUCACAUGAAUGAUAAAAGACAAUAUAUAUUUGUGAUGGUGCAUCCUUGUUGUUGUUGUGUGCAUCAGCCCUUUAUAAAACUAUCAUGUAAAUAUUAUAUUGUUUGUAUUUUAAAAAAAAUCGUUGGUGUGUUUAAUUUUUUUUACCCUCUUGUUUCUUGUAGUGCUCUUGUCCAAGCCUUGUUUAGCAGAAGCCCAACCCAAAAUUCAGUCUCAGAAUACACAAAAAAAGUCCAGCCCAAUUUCCAGAUUGAUCCAAUCUGGGCUGCAUACGACGAAUAGAGGAGAAAGUAGUCGUUUCUACGUUUUGCUUUCCAGCCAUCUGAAAAUUCUGUACUCUUUCGAGAGGAAGAGAAGAGAGAGGGCUGUGGAAAUUCCAGAGAUCGUAUAGAUCAGCGAAGCAGAGGUGCUUAGAAUUCGAAGAGAAGAUAUACAGAGAAAGAAAGAGGGAGGAGUGCAAGAGAAAGAUGUUGCCUACAACGUCGAGAGGGCGGUCGUCGUCCUCCACAUCUCGUACGAACCCCAUGUUCAUUCAGUACCUUCGAAGAAUAAUCAAGGUGCCCCAUUCUUCUCAGAUUCUAUUUGUUUAUGCUCUGGAUCUGAUCUGCGUACUAAUUUGUUUCAUUUUUAAAUUGAGCGUUUCAUAAUUUGUGGGUUGGAUCUAGUUGGACGAAUAACGUUGUAAAAACUCUGAAUUAUGGAAGAACUAGUGUUUUUGAUUGCUCUGGAAUCUGGAUGUCCAACAGAAAUUUCAAUUCCAUUUGGUUUUAAAGUGGGUUCAGAAUGGUUGCUUUGAGGUCUUUAGGUAGGUUCUUAUUAUGAAUUUUAUCCCCAUAUGUGCUUUGUAGCAAAUGAGUAUAAAAUUGUUUGAGGCUUUGAGCGGCUAGUGAGUUUUGCGAACCUCAUUUUGGGAAGCCUUUGAGAAUUCUUUAAUUCAUUUGAAGGUGGAAAACAUCACUUUUUUAGAUGGGGAGGGCUAUUCUAUGGAAACGAGGUGCAUUUUAGCUUAUUUCAUCACAUGGACUGGGUUAAAAUAGUAGGACUAUGUCAAAUAUUUUUUUUUUGGUUGAGAAUUCUUUUAAAGAGAAAUUGGAGUGAACUCGGUGGAUGCUUGAGAAUUUUUUGAAUCUUUUACUUGGAGAAGAGUUUGAACUCUUAUUUUUAUUCAAAAAAAGAAGGAUGCCAGAGAGCUUAAGAUUUGGAUCUGUUAGCCUGGUGGGGGAAGUUUAAAACUUCUUGCAAGGUUUCAGAGGAAGGCUGAAAUGGGUUAAUGGAAAAUUGUUGCCCAAACACAAAAUGCUGCUUACAUUUUGGAUUCAAUGGGCUAAUGAGUGCCUGGGUUCUAGUUUAACAUUGGGUUUGUACUGUUGCUAUGCUGGAGGAUUUAAGUUGGCAUCUCUGGGGUUGAACCCUAAGAUCAUCGGAUUCUAUAAUGUGCAAAACUAGUGCCAUUAAAAGAGAAAAGUUAUACAUGAAGGAAUGAUGAAAAUAGAAAUCAAGCCUAGCUUAACCAAAGAUGAAAAUGCUAGAUGGGUUGUGGAAUGCAGAACCCUAAUACAUUUCCUUAGUGCUAACUACAAAAUGGCAAACAUAUAGUGAUGUAGCACAGCAUCCUGCAUCAUAUAGUUUGCAUAGAUAUUGCGAAAUGGCUUUAAAGUGGAGAAGAAAGUAAGAGAAGCAAGAAAACGGAAUCUUCCACCAUGAUGGGUUCAGAUCAAUAUUACAGAGAUUUAGAGACUUUUUGACUGAUUUGAAUUGGGAGUUAGCAACUUGGAUUCUUGGAUAAAGGAGUAAUAUUUUUGUACUGCGAGGGGGUUGGAGAUAUUAUGGGCUCUUGUGUCUAUCCUUCUAAGUUAAUCAUAUUUUGAGCCCUGCACCCAGACACAACCCACAGGGUUUGAUAUGAAUUUUCAGUCUCACUUGGAAUCCCUGUUUUAUAGCGACCUACACUUAAAAUUGAGACCUGCUACACUUAUAUUAGUAUACAAUAUGUAAGGGGAUCUAGAUCUUCUAAAUUUAGGGUUGUGACCUGCACAAAUUCACAAACUAAAUAUCUAUUUCAGCAACCAUGAAGCUUUCUUUGAUGUUAUACAAAUUGAACAUUGAGAGGAUAUAUAAUCACAUUAAUUGGGAUUUUAAUUCCAUCUAUUGCAUAACCCAGUAUUGGGUAUAGGUCUUAGGUGUGGAUUUUUCAGCUCAUCUAUGUCUGCUCUGUUGCCUUAUACCUAACUCUUUUAAAUAUUUUUAAACUUUUGGUUUGGGAAGCUAGAAUGCUAAUUGCAUUUCAUUAUUAUUUUGAAUCCUUAGGCAUGCUUUAUCUCAAUGGGUUUUCUUUUGUUUUUUUAUUGGUUUAUUGUAGUGGCAACAAAUGGACAUUGAAUAUACUUUUUGGCAAAUGCUUCACCUAUGCACCUCACCAAAAGUUGUGUAAGUAUUCACGUUUUCAGAUCAUCAGCAUGCUGUUUUGUUGUUGCUCCUGAUUUCCUUAAUAUCGAAUUUUGUGUCUUGCAUGUGGAACUGUAUGACUGAUGCAGCUAUCAGCACACCAAGUACCACAAGCGUAAGUUCUUUACUUUUCAAAUUUUUUUUACUAAGUUGGAAUUUCUGAUUUUUUUGAUUUAGUGCCAUGCUGGUGGACUGAUUACAUGUCAAAAGUAUGAAAUAGUGUUGCUACAUCUGAUACAAUUGAAAUGUUGUUUACUUUCCUUUUGGUCUCAGAAACUAAGAAUCAAUGGGCUCGUGACGACCCUGCUUUUGUUGUAAUCUGCAGCCUUCUACUUGCAGUUGCAACUAUGGCUUAUUGUGCUGCGUAAGUUUACUGUUUACUUACCUGCUGGUUGCUAGAUACAACAAAGAAUUUGGUAGCACUGAUAUUAAUUUAAAAUAACGGUCACAGCUGAUUUGAAAUUUCCAGAAUGAAACCCAAGAGUUCUCAUCUUCCAGCUGAUGGAGAUCCUUCCAAACAUUUCUUUUGUCACAGGACUUUUUAAGAAAAAGUUUGUCUAAUGUCAAAAUAAAUUAAUAGACAAUAAUCAUAUGCUCUGCAAGUAAAAGUUGCAGUUUGGAUAUACUAGGUUCAUAUAAAUUUGAUAUUGCGCUGGCUCAAAAGUUCUACCCUCAAUGAGUAUUUUAUCAGUAUAUUCUGUAAAAAAAAAUUUCUAGCUUUAGUAAGUUCCAAGAAUUCUGUGAGGAAUCCUUUGCUGACUUUUAUCUAAUCUUACUUAUUUCAGGUACGACCAUAGUGCUGCACAUGCUGUUUUUGUAGUUAUUUCCGUUUUGCUUUUUCAGUUUUUGUUCAUCGGAAUGCUUCUGGCUACAUUUUGUUGGUAAGAAUUCGUUCUGGCUAACACUAAUGUGAUACUCGUUUGAUCUGAUCCUUAAAUAUGUCAGUGACUUCUUAUGCAGGCUCAAUUGUUUCGUGAAAAAAUUGCAGGAACAAAUAAGUUCUACGGAAACCCAGUUCUUAUAUUUUUUAUUAUAAAAAACUCAAUUUCCUUAAGUAAAGGAAGCCAUUUUCCAUAGAAGUAGGAAAAUAUGUUAUUUAGUUGCUAUCAUCUGUUGAUACCAAGCCCGCUUCAUGUUGCUGAGUCACUUGAACAUUCAGUACAAGGCUUCUAUAUAAGGAAAUAGUGAGUAUAGAAUAAUUUAUCUAAAGACAAAAAACAUGUUAGUUGUGCAUGAAGUGACAUAUGGGAGUGAAAUGUUACUGAGUGAUAUGUUCUGGUAUUAAUGCGAAUCCAGGUCUUUUGUAAAUAACUAGUUUGCAGGUGACAAUAUGUGUUUAAUUACUCAAAAGUCUAUAUAGGAAAUAAUGGGAUGGUGAUUGUACGUCUGGGGAAGAUGAGCUUCAGAUAGAGAUGUAAUUGCAGUGGUGGGGUCUCACAUUACUAUAUCUAUAUGGGUUGGCCAUUUGGAAAAAAAGUUCCAGUCUAAAUGAUUUUCGUUCUCAAUCUCUUUUAUAACUGUUUCAGUUCUCAAUCUCUUUAUUUAUAUGGUUCUCAAUCUUCUUCUGGAAUAGACACCUUAGAGUAAAGUAUUGAUCAUCAUAUAAUGGCAAAGUCCACUUUUCAAUGUUCAUGCAGGUUUUUGACUAAUUCUUACCUUCGUGAAGAGGCACCGAAUAGUCAUGUUGUUGAGCAACGUGUUGAAUGGCAAGUCUUUUAUCUUUCAUUUCCUACUUCAUUAGCAAUAUGAUUCUUGCUGAACAAUCGGCUUAGUUUUUACCUGAUCCUACCUGAUUGUGUAUGUGCAUGUUUUGUGUGUGCGUGGAUGAUUUUAGAUUGAUUGAAUCUCCCAGAACUUGCAAUUAAAUUUUUAUACAUGUAUUUCCAGCUUUUAUUUCUUUUCGUGUGUAAAAACAUUCUGAUUGUUUAUUUUGUGGUGAUUUUGGUCAAUUGAAGGAUGUACGCAUUUGACGUGCACUGCAACUCUUUCUUCCCGAUGUUUGUUAUGCUUUACGGUAAUUAAUGCAAAAAGUGUUUUCCUUAUCAUAUUAUCAAUCUCAAAUAUGUGAAAUGAUGUUCUGAUGUCUUUGUUGUGCAGUGAUCCAUUAUUUUCUAUCACCAAUUUUGGUAGCUCAUGGUUUCAUUCCUGUGUUGCUAUCAAAUUUGCUAUUCAUGGUGGCAAUUUCAUACUAUCAUUACCUCAACUUUUUAGGUUAUGAUGGUAAGCUAAAGAUUUUUUUAUGAGCUUAAGAAUUUUCUUUCAAAUGUUUAAGUGCAGAUGGUGUGAUGAGAUCAUUCUUGCCCAUGCUGUUUAUGGCGGAUACUAUUUUCUAAAACUCACUAUGAUAUCAUAUUAUACUACUAAGUGGUUGCUGCUGUUUUGGAUGUGGAUACAAAGUGAUGUUGCUUGAAGGCCAAAAUUUAUGAAUUCAAUCAGCUCUCUAAUAGGUGAAAUGCGCAAUUGAUUUCAUCAAAUAAAAGACCAGUAACUAGCGGACAUGUUCGCAUAAAUCAUUUCUGCAUAGAGCUUCCACCACUUAUGCAGUGGAGAUGCAGAGGUGGCCAGCAUUGUAGAUCCUUGCAUUCUCCUCUAUAGUCAGUGAUAUUGAAUUCUCUUAAGUCCCAAAAAAAAUAUUUGUGUUUCCAGCCGUUAAGUUAGCUCAUCAGCUUGUAAUCUAACCCCAUGACUUUAGAGUGGAAUUCAACUGUGUUGAGUUGUCCAGUUGGUUUUUGUUCCAGUAUAUGAUAAAGGCUCUAUGAGACAAACUUGUGGAUGAUAUACUUUCUUGUUAAGAACUUGAGAUAUAGUUGGGAAUUCAAGUGGUCGGCGGUUUAUUUUGAGUAACAAAUAUUAAUGCCAGUUUGCCUUGUCAUACUGAUUAAGUGUCCUAUUCUUGCAGUACUGCCCUUUCUGGAGAGGACGACUUUCUUCCUAUAUCCAAUCAGUGUUGUCAUUGUCCUCUCUCCGAUCUGUAAGUAUUGCAUGAGACUCUUGACUUUGCUUUUGCUUUGUGUUCCAUUACACUUUAGGUUGAAAUUGUUCGUUAUCCCCUUCUGCAGUGAUUUUGAGUGGCUUCAAUCCUUCAAGAUACUUUAUGAAUAUGUACUUUAGUCAACGAGUACAGAUUUAAUUGAGGCAAACAUUUAAGACAGCACAUACGUUAAGUUUGGGUACUAAUUCAGAGGCCACACAACUUGAGAAGACAUCGGCGGAUUCUUGAUUGCUUCUAUGAUAUGAUUACUAGCAGGAGGUCACAUAGGGAAAAGCUUUUGUGGCAUUCUUUGUAGGGCAUUUUACCACUGUGAAUGGAAGUUGGAACCAAGGAAGAUAGGGCAUCAAGUGUUUGUUUAGAGAUUCUGAAUAUUGAUCCCAGAGAUGUAUCGAACGCUAUGAUUUGUCUCCAUAUCAAAUCUAUGCUUUGCAUUUACAUACAUAAAUUUUUGAAAAUUUACAGUUGGCUUCUUUUGAAGGUACUGUUCUAAAUUGUACCAAGAUGUUUUGGAGUCAAUUGAAUAGGCCCAGUCACAGCAUACAUCGUCGGUAGGUAGUCCUUCAUUUUCUUUUAUCCUGCCGAGUGUUGUAUUUUUACAUGUAUGGUGAAUAAGCAAUUGGAGAGGGUUGAAACCAGGUUCUAGAAGGCUAGCUCUUUUUGCCACAUUUGUUCAAGAUUUAACUCCGAUGCAGCAGUGUGAAUUGAUUGUUCUUUUUAUGCUGGUCAGGAGCCUCCACUAAAUUUAACUCUGACAAAGAUGAGCUACAUUUUCCUCCCUUGCUCUCUCCUUUUUCUUCUUUUUUAUUUAUUAUUUUAUUUACAAUUUACAAUUUGCUAGUAGAUCUUGGAUCUUUAUCAAUGUUGAAGGUCAGGCACAGAAUCAAGUAGUUUUGAGUGCAAAUUAUUUUGGAAAGUGCAAACCGUCUCACCAAUUUCAAAACAUGGUUUUUGAAGCCAACAAAGCCAAUGGAGAAAAUGAAAGAAACAUUAAGGGAGGAAUUCAUAAUUUUGGUUAUUUUAUUUUUAUGACUUGUUUUCCACGGAUCUUAUCUACUUUUCAGAAAAAUUUCAAAAAAAAAAAUGUGACCGACAAACAAAAUUGUCACGCGUGACAUAAUUGGAGGACUCUAAAAUUUUAUUUGGAUAAGCCAUAGUGAAGUAAGGAAAUCCACACUGAAUACAAUGGCCCCAUCCAUCACAACAAUCACAGUAGGGUUAAGACUAUAUGAAAGCAUCAUAUGAGCAUAAACAUUUUUUUGUUACGUGAAAAUAGAGAAAAAAAGAAAAGAAAAUAGAGUUGUCAAUAAUAUAGUCGGAAUUAUGUGAUAUUUCACUCUAUUGAUGAAGAUUGCUGGCAGCCACAUCCACAACGAACCUGUACCUAACAUCGUUUUUCUCUAACCUCUCGAAGGCUGUGUUGAUAUAUUCCAUCUUAACCACUUCAAUCAUUGUUUUCAAUCCUUUCUCUUUGCAGAAUUCAAGCAUCUCCUCUGUCUCCUUCAUGCUCCCCACAAAGCUCCCUGUGAUUGUCUUCCUCCCUAUACAUAAUUGAACAAUUUAGAUAAAAGUAUAUUAUCUCUUUGACAUUCAAAAACUUAAGCUGUCAGGAAAUGAGACAAUAAUGCAUAUAAGCCCGAGUCAUGUUGGGUCAUUAAUGCGAUCAUCUUAUCUUAUCAGAACGUUAAUAACCAGUUGAAUGACAAUGUAAAUUUGUCAUUCUAAAUUGGCUGGCACAGGCUAGAUUUUAAGCCUUCAUUUUUUAGCAUUGAUAAAACUCGUGACUUUAAACCUAAAAUCUAAGCUCGUAGUCGAAGCAAAUUCCGAAUGGAAAAAAGGUUUGCGAGAAAAGUAAGAUGGUGAUAGAAAUGGGACUCACCAAGCAUGAGCAUGGGGGAGACAAAUUGUAAAGGGUCGUUGAUAGCACCCAUCAAGAUCAAUUUCCCAUCAAGCUUCAACAAAGAGAGGUAGGGCUCAAGUGGGUGGACCACAGGCACUGUGUCAAUAAUGUAAUCCAACGAAUCAGCAGCCUCUUGCAUUUUAGUGGCAUCGGAGCUGAUCAGGUACUCAUCAGCCCCAAUAUGUUCCAUGGCCUCCACUCUUUUCUUGUCAGAAGAGCUUAUCACAGUCACAUGGUGUUCCAUGGCCUUUGCUAUCUUCACCCCCAUGUGUCCUACACCCCCAAGUCCUAAUAUGCCUCCUCUUAACCCACUCACAUUCAGACCAAACUGCCUCAGUGGGCUGUACACCGUCACCCCCGCGCACAGCAGCGGCGCCGCCUGUUCCAGCACCAUGCCAUCUGGUAUCUUCACCGCAAACCUUAGCAAAUGAAAAAAACACAAAAUCAGUCAAAAUUACUGUACUUCCGAACUCAGAAACUCUUCCAACAUUUUGUAAAUCAAUAUCUACACUGAUUAGGUAAUGUUUAAAUGUGCGAUUCUGAUUGACAGUAUGAUAUGCCAUAUGUCUUGUUAGAGUUACGCUAAUUAUAUGCUUCACACGAAAAAAAGAAGAAGAAAAGAUUAAGCUUAUUAUGGUUUGGUUGCUACUUUUGAUCGAUGACUAGGGCAGCAGAAAAGCCGCCUUGGGUGAGUUUCCCAUCGGUGUAAACGUCACUGUAUGUCCAGAUUUUCUUGUUGCAGUAUUGCUCGUUGUCUGUUUUACAAGGAUUGCAGUUCCUGCAGCAACCCACUAUGAGCCCAACUCCAACCACAUCUCCUACUAUGAACUUGCUCACAGCUGAUCCCACCUCCACCACCUCACCAACCACUUCAUGCCUGUCCAGCAGAACAUUUUGUAAUUUUUUUAUAUUUAAAAUAAUGUAAUUAUAAGUAAAUAUUGUAACAUAUAUAGGAAAGUGGCAUUAAUUUUAUUAUAUACCCAGGAACCAUGGGAUACUUUGACAUGCCAAGAUGAUUUUUGGCCUGGUGAGUAUCAGUGUGGCAAACUCCACAGAAUAGUACUUUGAUGUAAACAUCUUCCGGCCCAGUGUUUCUGCAAUUUUUUUAAAAUUAAAAAAAAAUAUAUCAGCAGAAAGAGGUACAUGACAUGUAGAAAGAAUAGAUGAUCACUAUACCAUGCUCAUUGAGUUUAUUCACCAAAUUAAGUUACUAAAUCGUGUACAAGUUUUCGAUCUAACAUGCGUACAGAUACAUCAUUUGGUAAAUAAAUUAGGCGAGUCGGUAUUAUUGUAUAGGAGAUAAAAACACACACAUACAACAAUAAGGGAGGGAUAUGAGAUUGAUUUACCUAAGAGUAUAUGUGUAGGGUGAAAGAAUCCCAGACGAGUCUCUUGCAGCCCAUCCUGUUGUUGUUCUCUCCACCUCAAGGCUAACCAUUUUAGUUUCUUCUGUAUGUGAGUGUUUGAGAGAAGAAAGAGAAAGAGAGUCGACUGUUUGUUUUGGAAAGGUUGGUUUUGGGUAAUAAGCACAAAUGGACAGAAGGAAAGCCAAAGCUUCGUAGAGAAGAUGGACACCUAAGUUAUUGUCUACUGAAAAGAAAAGGUUAGAAAAUAGAUUUCCUUUGAUAUGGGGAAAUAUUUGAUGUCUAUGAUUCUAGGCACGUAGUCUCAUUCAAGUGAACGUGAUUACACUUAGAUUUAGUCCAAACUAAGCGUGGAUAAACGAAAAUCGACUGAUCAACCCUCGAGAUAAAUGCAAAUCUGAACACAGAGGUCCCCAAACCUAACUAUAACUAUGGUCUAAAUGCUUACACGUGACCAAAGAAAAGAUAAAGUAGAGCCCUACAAUAAAAUUAUUAUUAUUAUUAUUUUAUAUAAACGAUAUUAUAUUUUAAUUUAAUCUAAAUUACAGGAAAGAUAUUUGAAUUCGAGUGCAAACACAAGAACAUAUCCGCUCUAAUCUACACCUUACAAUGAAAUUUAAAUGAAGAGAAUUAUCAUAACAUCAGUUCCUGGUCUUCAGAAUGAUCAAAUCAAUCCCCAUUAUUUUUCUGUUUAGGAGGGGCCAUAGGCACACACGUAAUGUUUGGUCGUCUGGUGACUGGUACGAUUUCAAGCUGUCAGGUACGGCUGUCGACUUUCUUCAGUUAAAUAAUUUUUUUUUCUUUAAUGCCAGAGUUAUCAAUAAUAUUUCAUCUGGUGAGCUAAAUUUAAUAACUAAACCUAGUUUCUGAUAUACCUUUUCAGUUUUGACUACUUCCUUCCUCAAGUUUGGUUCUAGUUGUAGAUCUUCUGACCAAUUUCAAACCAUGGUUGUUGGAACAGCAUUGACAAUCAACCAUGUCAUUAAGAUUAUUCCACUUUAGUGACAUAUGGGAAGCAACGUGUCAUGAAGUAGAUUAGGAGAACGAGUCUUUCUUGGCCGACCUAAUUGGGCACAAGUCUUUCUCUAUUUUUUAAUUUUUUAAAGUAUUUGAAAAAUAAAAAACAAAGUUAAAUAAUAAUAAAAUAAAAUUUAAAAAACAUCUCUCUCUCUCUCUCUCUCUCUCCCCCAUUACCGACCCACCCCUACCCUAGAGACUCUAUUCUCUACAACCACCGCCCUUGCAACUAGCCUCCAUUCCCCUACCGCAACUCUAGACACCAUUUUCUCCCUCAACUCUACAAUUCCCUUCUUUACACACAUUGGAUUGCCAAUUAAAUUAAAUAAAAAAUACCAACUUCAGUAGAGACUGAAUACAAUUUAGGACCAACCUCCUUUGAUAGAUCCUCUUUCGAUUUCUUAUUAAAUCAUGAGUCAUCACCAUCCCCUCUGUCCACUCAUUUUCCUCUCUCUCUCUCUCUCUCUCUCUCUCUCUCUCUCUCUCUCUAGACUCUUCUCUAUCUAUAGAAAAGAAGCAACAGCUCCUUAGUACACAAACCCCAAAUCCCAAACCCAUCUCCCAUUUAAUUUUUUUUAAAACAAAGAGUUAAUUAUGGUUAUAGUCAUAGACAUGUGUCAAGUUUUUAAGAGGGUGGUGAAGGUACAUAUUGGGUUAUAGCGGUGAGCAAAAAUGAUCUAUAUUUUUAUACCACAUUGUGUACUACAUCUCUAAUAGAGUGGGCUCUGUCAAAAAGUCUGUUAAAAAUGCCCACCUAGCAUGAGUGGGAUCCACUCAUUUGUUGAAAUGAAUGCCUGACACGUGUGAAAAAAUUAAUAAAAUAUUUUAUUUAAAAAAUUAACAAAUAAGAAAAAUAAAAAAUAAUUACUUUUAUCUCUCUCCCUCUCUCUUUCUCUGUACCGAGCGACCCCCUCCUGGCCAACCACUUGGGGCAGCCAUCACUGCACUACCUCCUCCUCUCUUGGAGUUGAUGCCGCAUAUGAUGCCUUUGCGGCUAGAGGUAGGCACGAUUCGGUUCGGGUCGAUUUUUGCCUCAAAUUGAAAUAAAAAAUGAUAUUAUUUACCCGGUUUGAUUUAGUACAAUUUUUAACAAAAAAUUUAUAAAAGUGUUUGGUUCGAGUUGAAUUUGUUUCGUUCCAGUUCAGGUCCAGUUCAAUUUUGAACAAGAUUAUUAUUAUUAUUAUUAUUAUUAUUAUUAUUUUAUACAAAUUUCAACUGAAAAUUGAUUUAUUUUAAUUUGAAAAUUUACAAAUUAUCCAAUUUCAUACAAAAAGAAAUAUUAAAACUAGAAAAGAGAGAUAUUUUGAAAUUAAACUUGGGUAAAUAUUAGUUAUGAGAUUAAAAAUACAGCAUUGGAUAUAAAUAAAUAUUAAAAAAAAUAUUUUUUAAUUUGGCCAAUUUCAUUCAGCCUGGUUCGAUUUGUUGGGUAGAAAUGAAACGAGAACCGGUUAGAAUCAGUUCGGUUCAACUUUUUGAAUUGAUUUUGACUUUUUGGUCAACAAGAUUUUUAGAGUCCGGUUUGAUUCAGUUAAUCGAUUCUUCGUUCCAAUGCCCACCCUUAUUUGCGACUGUGUAUAUUGAGAUUUUGAGUCAGAGCUUGGGAGAUUACGGACUUGGACCCGACCCGAUUUAGAUCCGACUUGCUGAGGUGGAACGUGGCGGCCAUGACGUUGGCUUAAGCAACGCUGUCAAGGGUCUGGGCCUGCUACGGGAGGCAGGGGACGACGACGUUUUGAUGGGGGAAGGUUGUUGAGCUUGAUCUUGCCGAAACACGAGGAGGAAGAAAGGUGGACAACGGAGCGGGCGAGCUUGGAAGCUACUGGGAUCUUGAGAGCAAUAUUGCCAACUGUGACCCACACGAAUGGGCAUGGAUCCAUUGCCCAUUGAGAGCGAGAUACUCUGUUUUUUGCUCUGUUUGUUUAUUCAUAGUGAGAUUGACCAAUUGCAUUUCUUCAUAGCGAGAUGCUCUGGUUUUUGACCCACACACACCGACGAAUCAUUUGCUUUUUCUAUGCCCAAUUACAUUAUCUGUGACUCUAAAUAAAAUAGAAAAUAUAUCUAAAUUAUAUUAUGAAAUAAAUCUCUAUUAUAAUAAUAUUAAAUAAUAAUGGGUAAGUAACUAAAAUUCUAACAUAAUAAAGAAUCAAAAUUCUAACUAAAUAACGACUCGCCAACAUAAUUAAGGUUGUCUGAGGCAACUAAUUUCAGUUGGGUAAUUCCAGCAUGCACUGCUAUAAGGGAGGGGAGGUGGAUAUUUUGUGGGAUAAGAUUAACUUAUGGCAUGGCUUUAAAGAUUUUAUUUUAUGUAAUUUUCAGGUUGGAAAACUUUUGUUUUCUAAGACAGUUUCCAGUUUAUUUAUUUAGAUAAUUUUUUAGUUUGUCCAAGUAUUUGUCAUGUCUUCACUAGAGGUGGGAGCAAGUGGGAGAGAGACCGAGAGGGAGGGGUUGUGGAGGUGGGAGGUGGGCGGUGGGCAGUGGGGUAGGUGCCCUGGGGAUGGGGAGAAGAGGGAAUUGAGGUUUUUAUUAUUAUUUUUUGUUGAAGUUUUUUUUUCUAGAGUAUUUUUGGUACACAAUGCAUAUAGAGUAUAAUAAUAGAGCCCCACUCGUAUCAUGUUAGCAUUUUAAACAGAUUUUUUAUAGACUUGACGACAAAGGAUAAAGUGAGACGCAAAACAUUGGUCAAGAGGAUAAAAUGGGCAACUUCAACUUUUAAAGGAAUAAAAUGAAAUUUGACCAUAAUUUCAGGGGACACUAAAUAAAUAAGUCUUUAUUUUAUUUUCGUAAAAAAUGUGAACUUCACUACUUGAAAUUAUUAUUUUGUUACUAUAUCCUUGUCACUAAUAUAUGUUUGAUGACUAAGAUUGAAUUGAAUUAGGUGCUGAGAUAAAAUUACAUUGAAAUAUGUACAAUUGUCCAUUUUCCUUCAUUUUAUUAAGCAUCAAACAUGAGAUUGAAUUAAACUAAUCCAAUCCUACCACUUAUCCCACCUAUCAAUGCAAAAAAGAUGAUUUUGAGAAGAGUUGUGUUAAACACACACUCAUUCAUGCAUUUGGACUCCUAAUAUGACAAAGCAAGCCAUUGCUCAUAGCCAAAGCAGAAGUACUUAUCUUUUGAUAUACGACGCAAUUCUCACCUAAAGUUUGGUAUCUUUCCUUGUUUCACAGUCAUCAUCCCACACCAAAUCAAAUUGGCCCCCCUUACCUCAAUCACAAUAUUCAAGUACUUAAAAACAAAACAAAACAAAAACAAACAUCCACUCAUAUGAAAUGAAAGCACCAUUUCAGCCUUUUUCUUUCUUUAUCAAACCAGAAAGCUCUGUAUAAAAAAACAGAAUUCUGUGUUUUUUUUUUCUUCUUCUUAUCUGUCUAUGGAUUAAGAUUGCUGCCGGCCACAUCCACAACGAACCUGUACCUAACAUCAUUCUUCUCCAACCUCUCAAAGGCUGUGUUGACAUAAUCCAUCUUAACCACUUCAAUCAUUGAUGUCAAUCCUUUCUCUUUGCAAAACUCAAGCAUCUCCUCUGUUUCCUUCAUGCUCCCCACAAAGCUCCCUGUGAUUGUUUUCCUCCCUACACAUAAUAAUUCCAGUAGAACCCAAUAUUAUUAUAUAAAAAUAACACAAACCCAAGAUUUUUUAAGCUAUAAUUUUGAAUUAAUCCACUAACCCAGAUAAGAACUAUAAAUUUAAAUGCAAAAUUUGAAAGUGGUGGAAGUGGGAUUUUACCAAGCAUGACCAUGGGGGAGACAAAUUGUAAAGGGGCACCAAUAACACCCAUCAAGAUUAAUUUUCCAUCAAGCCUCAACAGAGAGAGGUAGGGCUCAAGUGGGUGGACAACAGGCACUGUGUCAAUGAUGUAAUCCAAUGAGUCUGCAGCCUCCUGCAUUUUAGUGGCAUCUGAGCUGACCAAGAACUCAUCUGCCCCAACAUGCUCCAAAGCCUCCUCUUUUUUCCUGUCUGAAGAACUUAUCACAGUCACAUGGUGCCCCAUGGCCUUUGCUAUCUUCACCCCCAUGUGUCCUACACCCCCAAGCCCUAAUAUUCCUCCUCUUAAUCCGCUCAAAUUUAGACCGAAGUGAUUCAGCGGGCUGUACACCGUCACGCCGGCGCAUAGUAGGGGCGCAGCCUGUUCCCAGGCCAUGCCGUCCGGUAUCUUUACCACAAACCUUCACCGGAAAUAAAAUUGAGAAUAUGAUUAAUAAAAACUUAAAAUCACUAAUCUAAACAAAAUAUUAGCAAAAAAACAUAAGCAGAUGAUCUGAACUUGUAAUUUAAACAGAAAUUAAGAGAGAUGGCCAAAGGUAAUGCAAAUUUUGUUAUAAACAAUGGUUUAUUAGGGUUUGGUGAUUACUUUUGAUCAGCAACCAGUUCACCAGCGAAACCCCCUUGGGUGGGUUUGCCAUCGGAGUAAGUGUCAUUGUAAGACCAGAUUUUCUUGUUGCAGUAUUGCUCGUUGUCUGUUUUGCAUGGGUUGCAGCUUCGGCAGCAACCCACAAGGAGGCCAACUCCAACCACAUCUCCUACUCUGAACUUGGUCACAUCUGAUCCCACCUCCAACACCUCACCAACCACCUCGUGCCUGGUUAAUAACAUAACAUGGCAGAUAUGGUAAAUGGUUAUUUAUUUACAAACCAUAUAAGGAAGUGACAUAAAAAGGAAGAAUUGAUCGAGUACUAGCUAACGUCUUACCCGGGAACCAUUGGAUAGUUUGACCUACCAAGGUCAUUUUUGACCUGGUGAAGAUCAGAGUGGCAAAUCCCACAGCUUAGGACUUUGACAUAAACAUCUUCUGGACCAGUGUUCCUGCAAUUUAUUAAUUUAAUUAAAAAUAAUUAGCAAAUGAUGUGACAAGACGUCGAUCGUCUAUUGUCACAUUUAUUUGGUGAACAAAUUUGACGAAUUCAAUAUAUUAUGUUUAUAAUUAUCAAUGAUUCAAGGGGGAAAAAAAAUUAGAGGCACAAAAUAAGAGGGAUAUUAAGAUUGAUUUACCUAAGAGUGUAGGUGUAGGGUGAGAGAAUUCCAGAGGAGUCUCUUGCAGCCCAUCCUGUUGUUGUUCUCUCCACUUCAAGGCUACCCAUAUUCUUUCUCCUUCUUUUCUGUAUGUGUCUGAGACGCAGAGAUGUUGGGUUUGGUGAGUUUCUGAGAAAAGUUGGUUUUGGCUAUGGAGAAUCAGAAACCCAAAUGAAGCAUAUAAAUACACUGAGGAUUAGACUUUAGACAGUGGGGUUGGUGAACUCUGCGGGGGGAAAACUCCUCUGCUCCUCAGCUGCAGUAGAACUGUGGAACCAUCUUCUCUGAAUAAUGGGUCCCACGAACACAAAAUUCUUCCUCAACCAUAGUUGGUGGGUGGGGCCAUGUGUUUGAUUGAAAUGUUAGUGGGCAUUUGUUGCGUCAUUCAUACGUCACAAACCAAUCCAGGAGAGUUGGUGAAUUAGAUGAGGUUGUGGUGAUGAGCUGGCUUUUGAUUUAAGUUAUUUUAUUGGAUUGGACCGAAAAAAGAGAAAAAAAAAAAAGACACGUAAAUUAAGGUAAGAUUGGGAUGGGCAAUCAUUUCUGAUACUACUUCGCCGGUAUAGAUUUAUCCCGACGAAUUCUUAAGCAACUUUUGUUGCUUGACAUUUGUUUUUUUGGCUUUCAUAAAAUUAUAUUAUUUGGAAUAUUAUAGGAUUUACAUUUUGCUCUCGUUGUGGUAUUGUUCAUGAUAGUGCAACACAAGCAUGUCAAUCCAAAGUGGAUAAGGUAAUCAACCUCCGCAAUUCCAAUCUUCUUUGUCCUGGAUUUUAAUCAAAGUCUACAUCUUUGCUUCCACCUUCUGAUCUAAAAUUCAGAAUGUGCCACAAGGACUUGGUUCAUUGGAGCAUCUUGAGUGGUGCAAGAGUGAAACAAGUCACUAGGUGAGAAAUCAUAAAUAUUAAUGUUAUUGUCUAAGAAAAUAUUAGGGAGACCACAUCAUGUAUCUCCUCAAUAAUAGAAACGAUAUUGUGGAUGGGUUACACUUUUAUUAGACAAAAGGUAGCACACAAAUGUGGUAUUCUUAAUAUUGCUAUCUUGUUUAUUAUUGGGUUUUACUUACUUUUGGUUAACCCUUUAAUAUUUUAGAAAAGAUAAAUAUCUAAUGAAAUUCAAUAGUUUGAGGGAAGAAAAAGACUAAUCACUAUUGAAUCAAACUUUAACGACGAAAAUUAUUUUAAAAUUAGGCUUAUUUAUGGAUAUGCCCUCUAUGCUUUCAAAAUAGUCUCAAAUUACCACAUAUUCUUUGAAAUGUCUCAAUAUAUCACCUAUACUUUCAUUAAGUGUCUAACGUAAGCAAUUCCGUCAUAUUUGAGAGAAGUUCCGUUAGCUGAUGUAGCCUCCACUUCGUUUCAAUCUCUUAACAAGGGAGAUGAAGGGUUAGUCAGGUUGAGAAAAUGGGGAAUUUGGGAGAAGAAGGUUAGGUUGAAGGAAUUUCAAAUUUGGGAAUCUCUGAAAGAAUGGCUCGAAUCUUUGAAUAGAGAGGAAGGUUGCUUUUUCUCUGUGUGAAUAUUGAUUGAGUUAGUGUGUUGUGUUAUCUGGGAAGGGGGUCGCACGAUUUACUCGAGAAUCUUUGGAAAUUGUUUGGCAUUGGACUUUAAGGUGGAGGUUCAGAUUUGGGAGAAAAUGAGGGAUUUGGGAGAAAAUUAUUAGGAAUUUGAUUUGGGGAUUUCAGAUUUGGGAGAAGAAGGAAUAGGGUUUAUUCCACUUGAAAGACUUGAAAGAAGGGCUCGAAUCUUUGAAUAGGGUUCAUUGCACUUGAAAGCUGCUUAUUCUUUAUGUGAAUACUGACUGAAUUGAAGAAGACUGUGUGAAUACUGACUACUUUUUCUCAACCUGACUAACCCCUCCUCUCCAUUGUUAAGAGAUUGAAAAGAAGUGGGGGCCACAUCAGCUAGCGGAACUUCUCUCAAAUCUGACGGAAUCGCUUACGUAAGACACUUAAUGAAAGUAUAAGUGGUAUAUUGAGACAUUUCAAAGAACAUGUGGUAAUCUGAGACUAUUUUGAAAGCACAAAUGCAUAUCCAUAAAUAAGCCUAAAAAUAAUGUAGAAUGAAGUGGAAUUGAACUAAAUUUGCAUGUCAAACGUUUGCAUUUCCAUCCAAAGAGUUAGUGACCAUGAGUUUUCAUGUGGUACCAAGAGAAUCUAACUCUAUAUAAUAUAGACUGAUGCUAAACGAACCUUAAAAUUAACUUAGUACACCAUACUAUCAAACUAUUUAUUGAAUUACUAAUUUACCCUAAUAUAAAAUGACCAAAAAGGAUAUAUUGAAUUGUGAAGCAAAUGUAAUUUUAAUAAAUACACCUUACUCACCAUAUUCAACCCUAAUAUUCGAUGGAGCGACGUUGAACGCUAUGAAUCCAACCCAACCCCACCACCACCGUCCUUCCCUCUCUCUCUCUCUCUCUCUCUCUCUCUCUCAUCCAAAUGAUCUUAUUUGCUCUAAAUUUUUUGCAAUGAGUCAGAAUCUUCCAUAUGUAUGUGGCGUUAGUCCAUGAGACUUGGUUAAUGCAUUCAACCCACCCAAAACAAUAAUCAUUUGAUGUUCAUCUACGGUGUUGGUGGUUUCAAGUGAGCAUAUUCCCAAACGACUCUUACACUUGCCCACUAGAACUCCAGCUCCUCACCCUCUGAUGAAUCUAAUGACAAUUAUGUUGUUGUUUUCACCAUAAACACCAACUUCCAACAACUUCAAUACAACCUAUUUCUUUUGAAUUAGAUACCUUUGGGGUUGAUAGCAACCUCAACAGUCUAAGAAACAAACCCACUUUGGAAUUUUCCUUCUUCCACUAGUUGAAGGGAGAUGGGUUCCAACACGAUAUUACGGGCUUAUUAGAAUCUUAUGCUUGUCGGGUCUAAAUUGGCUGGCAAUAAGUAGGGGAAAGGUGGAGUUGGGCUGAGAGAAAGAGAGAGAGAGAGAGAGAAGGGCGGUGGUGGUAGGGUUGGGUUGGAUGCGAGAGGGCUUAAGUCAGAGGAGGAAAGAUGAGGUUGGCUGGGUGGGGGGAUGAUGGGAGGUCGAUUUCAUAGGUUUAAGUGUUAAGUGGUUUACCACAUGUCAAAAAAAUAGAAGGGAAACAUGUCGGCACAUGGCAUUUGGUUACAAUGAAUUUGGACUCAUGAAUGGGUUAGGUGUUGCGUGAUAGAGUGUAUUAGGGUGUACCAUGGGUGAUUUUGGUAGUUAAAUAGGGUGUACUGAGUUAAUUUUAUAAUUUGAUUUAAAUAUUAGGGUGCACUUAGAACAUAUUGUGUACUCAGUUAAUUUUAGGAUUCAUUUAGCAACACUCUAUAACAUAUCAUUGAUACUUGUUCAAUUUGCCAUUUGUGUCAUAUCCACGUAUAGAACUGGUUUGCGUUUUUUAAGCAAAAACAACAGGUUGGCGAAAGACAAAGUUUUUCCGUGGUAGAUCCUCACGUGUAUUUGUAUCCUAACAUCUAAUUUGUUAUUGGAAAUAUUCUACCAUUUACAUUGAACAUCCCGAUACAACUCGAUACAUGACUCAAAACUUGCAUGGAAAAUUAACGGGUCAACUUGUACGAUAACAAUUGCAGGUCAAAUUCAGAUCAACUGACCAUGGCCUGUGUAAUAAACCGGUGAAUUUAGGAUCAAGUUACAUAUUUAAUAACCCGUUUAACACAAUCCGAACCCGAUACGACACGUUUAUUAAAUAAGUCGGAUUUGGAUUAAGCAUUCUUGACAUAUUUAUUAUCUUAACAUGACAUGAACCUGACACAAUCUAACGUAUUGCCAGCCUUACAUUGGAUGCUAAAAUUUAACAAAUAUUUUUACUUUGUACCAUAAACGAGACCCAGUUUUUGGCAUUUAUAAAACAUGUCACAAAACAUAGCAGCCCCUCGGAGAAGAUUGAGUUACAUAUUUUAGUGGUACCAAGAAGAAAGCCUCAAUUUUUUAUUUUUAUUUUUUACUUAGUUUGUAAAAAAUGGUGGUUCUUUAUUAAGCUAUGUGAUCUGCACUGCAUAAAGCAAUAAAAUAUGAAAAGUUGAGGGGUUCCAUUCCACCAUCUCCUUCGAAUAUAUAGAAAGCAAAAAAUUGAUUUUUCCCACGACCUUGAAUACUAUAAAAGAAAUAGAAGUUUACAUAAUUGUGGUAUCCAACAAUAUUUUGAUUCUUCUUGGCAAAUUUUUUAUAUAUUUUGAUUCUUAAUGACUGUUAACGACAUUAAAAUAGAACAAUAAGUUCAGCGAAUCAAGUGGGUUUUUUUUGGGUUGAGAAAUUUUAGGGUUGUAUUUAUAAUUCUAUUAAAAAAAAGUUAUUAGCCAUAAAUGAUCAAUACAAAUUAAUUACAAAAAGCCAUUAUAAUAAUGGAGCAGUCUAACAUCAAAAUUAAGGCAAUUUAAUACGUCAAUCAAGUGAAUUUAGGUUGUUAACGACAAUUUUUUCUUAUAAUUUGUAAGAAAAUUAAAGAAUGACUGGCUAAAGAGAUUAUUAGGUGACAGAAAGGCACAUGUCGUCUUCUCUAUUCAUUUGCUUCCAACAGCUCAUCUCUACAACUUUAAGUUUAUCCACUUGAUUUUGACAAUUCGUAAAGAAUGGGGCUCCAUCAGAAAUCCCAGGUCUUUCACCCACCUGCUGUCGUUGUAGAAGCAUGAUCCAAUUUUGCUGGAUUGAACGUCAAAAUAUAAUAUCUGUCAUACCAUCACAUAUAGUUAUUAUAAGCGAAUAUUUACCUUUAUACUUGAGUUUUUAUUCUAUUGUAAAUAAUUAACGGGAUUUAGUUCAGUGAAAAAGUACUUUAAUUUACAGAUUAAUAGUUUUAGGUUUGAAUUUUUAUGACACUUUAAUAAUUUGUGUGAGAAAUCCCAUAUCCUCGUAAUUUAGACUAUAGCUUAUAUUUAUUAUUAAAAAAAACCUCUAUUGUACAUCUCAAUUAUGAUCUUCUUAGUAAAAGAAACAGUAAAAAAAAAAGUUAAUUUAAUUAAAUAAUUGGGAUAGGUCAAACUUUAUUAAGGAAAAUUUAGAGGUUCAAGAGUCGAAAGAUGUUUGCUGUAUUCCCAUGCAUUUUCUUCUCUCAAGCCGAUCCUUGACUAAUAGACAGACAUGCAAUCAGAAAAGAAGAAAAGAAAUCAACGCAGUGAGUCACAAGCCAUUCAUUUUCUAGGGGCCAUGUUGGAAAAUUUGGUUUAGGGACGCUACUUUUCCUGCAAAACAUCAUAUGAAAUAAUUAUUAGAUAAUUGUAAUUUAUAUUAAUAGAUUAGAUUAAAUAAAAUCAAUGAAAUUACAGCAAAAUAUUUAUCUUUUGGGAUGUAGAAGUUGGUCUCUAUUGAUACUUGAGUAGAAUAAUAGUUUUAGGUUGAGGCGUGUAGUCGCUAUCCUUGAGAGUAGAUUUCGCUUUUCGGAGACAAUGUCUCGGUGUAGCAAGGUUGUAUGGCGCCCUAUCCUCCAAGAUACAACAACUUAUGACCCUUAUAAGCGUACACUCACAAUAUUUAAGUCGGAUGAACACUUGAAUCUUUCUCUUAGAAGUAAAAUAAAAUUAGCACAAUAAAACUGUAUGAAAAUCGUGAGGAAAGGAAAUAAUGUGGGAGGACAGAAAGUGAGAGAAAAUGCUUGAAUUGAGAUCUCUGUUCAGCCAAAAUUGCCAAGGCUAUAUAUAUAGUUGUUGACCCCAAAGAGACGUUGGUCAUUAAAGACAAAAUUUUGCCGUUUGAUAAAUAAUGGUGGCACAGUUUAGAAAAUGAAUACUGAUACCAAUAGGCCAAUUAAAUAUAUAUAUAAACACAAACGGUUAUAAUUAAAUAUAUAUAUAUAAACACAAACGGUUAUAAUUAAAUAUAUAUAUAUAAACACAAACGGUUAUGUAAUAUCUUCAGCAAAUCAAAGUUGUUAUCAAAUCAAAGAUAACGGGCCUCAAAAUUAAUAACAAAGUAAUUAGGUCAUAAUUGUAAAUUGUAUAAAUAUACGCAGUUUUAAAGAAGUAAUCUAAUCACACAAAAAUCUGGAAAAUAAAUUCAACAUAAAAUAAGUAAUAAAAUAAUUUUGUAUUUUGAAAUACUCACAAAAAUUCCAACAGGCCAUACCAUAAUUUGUCUUAUAGGAAAAUGCUAGGGAGACCAACUUUAGAUACCAACUUGUGUACCAACUCUCUAAUAGAGUGUGAGACCCAUUGUAUUGGUGGGCUCCACCUCUAUUAGAGAGUUGGUACACAAGUUGGUAUCUAAAGUUGGUCUCCCUAGCAUCACCCUGUCUUAUAUUUCUUUCGUUUUCCCGUAGUGGUUGAAAUUUUGGCUUGUCACUAGAAAGAUGAGUUAAGUCCCCCGAAACCUUGAAAAACCAAAAAUUAGCUCACUCUAGAUCCGCACGUGGCUCUGUCACGCUCACGGCUCAAGUUCGAAUAUCUCAUCUCUUUUAUAAAUUCUUUUAUAAAAAAAGGGUUCGAAAAGUUGUUAAGACUGAUAUCUAAAACACAUUAAUCUUGUUUGGUUUCUCUACAUGGUUGGCACUAAGACGAUUAAAAUGUAAGAAGGGGGGCCAUGACUCAUAACAUAACCCCGUUAUGGUAUGGCAGUCCAUGAAUUAGGCAAGAUCACUGAUAAGCUAUAUGGAUGAAACAAAGCCAGUAAUGUAGGUCAUGGUCAACUCGUUUACUCUCCUCCAGGACCUUGAGACGUGGUUUAUUACAAAUCCAGGUACAGAGAAUAUCUUUCUGAUGACCAAAAUUAGUUGCGUAUGUCGCAAAAUUUGCUUCUCGGAAAAUAUAUCGUAGUUUAUUGCACCUGAAAAUUCUUAAGAAUUCAUCGAAUAUCCGAAUAAAGAGAAAAGAAGAUGUCAAGGAGGAGUAUUAUGCCCUUGCAACAAAUUUCCCUUCAUAAAAUAUGCAAGUUAAGGCAGCAAUCAAAUGACAAAAUAAAAGAAAAAGAUAAUAGAAUCAACAAAAAAAUUUAAGUUGUAGCUUAAGAAUUUGUAAUAUUCCAACUUCUUUGCAUGAACGAAGGCAGAGCAGCAACCAAUUCUAGGCUUUCUAAUUCUGAAAGAUCACUAUCUGAAUGCAGUUUCACAUUUUGCAAAGCCAGAUUCACAUUAGGCAAAACCAUUUGCUUACAAUGAAGAUGCAGGCGGGGAUUCUUUUCAGAGACACUUCCGCUUUCCAUAUUGAGAUCAAAAGGGAGGUUUUUUCUCUUGGGAAACUCCUCAUCUGAAUGACAUUCAUUAUUAGACCAAGCUAAGGGUUUCCAGUUCCUAUGAGUUUGCCACCCAUACUUGUAGUCUCCAACUAUCGGUGUUCGCAGAACCUCUGCACAGUGUACACGCAGCUGCAAUGCUUACACAUGGUUAGAGCAGUUGUUCACAGAGAAAAGUGACUUUGUAACUAAGUAAUAAAUCUGCUAACAAGUGUUUAGUUAUGAUCCAUACCUGAUGCUUUCGGCCAGUAAGAGGGGUUAGCUCUAACCAUGUGUAACCUGCACAAUCAAUAGUGGAAAAUCAGAAGCAUAUACUUAGAGGGAAAUAUUAUUUGUACAAGAAAGCUGCGCCAAAAUAUCUUCAUUCAUGAUUGUUUGGAGCCAAAUGUUGAAACUAAAACUGCAGCAUGUAUUGCAUGCUUAUGUGCAAUGGUGAAAGAGUUUGUUGCUAACCAGGACAUGGUGAUCCAAUUACUUUGUACUUUGUAAUGGCAUGCUGAGAUGGCAAAGUUUGUGAAUCGUUCACAAUUGUGAUUCGAUCUGAUUUACCAUUGUCCACUACCACCUGAAAGCAAUCAAAGCCCCAAAAUAUUAAAAGUUCACUAUAAUUAUAAAUUUUAUACACUGAUAUUUGUUCAAUGCAUCACUGAGACUACGAGAAACCACUUAAUCACAUAGAAAUAUUCUAACUGAAUUUUAUUAUUUUCUAAAGGGUAAUCUCUAGGUGUGGAUGGGUGAGUGUCAGAGUAAAUACAUUCAAGAGUACUCUAACCUUUCCCAAAGGUGCUGAGAUUAAACCCUUUCGUUGUCUGGGAGAUCCAAUGACAAGUGCCCAAUACCUUCUUUGCAGAAUUCUUUUUGCAUCAUCAAUUUCCUUUAAACAAAUAUAAACAUGAGGUAAAUUGAUAUGUAACAGAACUAACAACCUCGCAACUUGAUGACCAUGCAUGGAUCCUUCCAGAAACAAGCACCAACAGAGAAAGAGUGGACAUUUACUCACAUCAUUUGAUGCUCCAAAAGUUUUCUCGCGGAAGAUGGAAUGCAAAACUGUCGCACUUGUUUGUGUCCUUCCCAUCACCAGGAUACCACUACUAUCUCUGUCAAGUCUGUGUACCUAACAAACACAAAGAUUCUUAUCCAAGAAAAAAAGAAUAGGAAAAAGGCAAAAACAAAUAAACACAGAGCUUGUUCAAGGAAGAUAGAUAAUCCAUACAUCCAAGCAUCCAUAAGACUGCUGUGGAAAUAGAAGUUUCCAUGCAAGUACACACUUGAUACAAUGAUUGAGAUUCUAAUAUAAAGUCUAUAAAACUAAAUUUUCCAUUAAUCAAUUCUUGCAUUCAUUGAAAUAAAAAAAAGUUCCUGUUUCCAUUCUGUCUAGGUCUCAUAAUGACACAACUGUUUACCAGCCCAACCAAGCUGAGUUUGAGGAUGCUUAACCUGGAAUCAUGAAGCAAUAUAGCUCACAAGUGGCUCCAUCUGGUUGAACAUGAAAUAUGUGAACAAGCUGCUAGUCAAUGAGUUGGCUGGAGCUUCUCAAUAGUGGCUUGAGUCACAUGCAAUGAAUCUCUCUUUCACUCCAUACUCACUCUAGAUUUUACUAUUACAUGAAGGGUCCCCAUUCAAUAUUUUAGAAGUUCAACAAAUAUACUGCUUACGAUACAGCUAUGACAAUGAAUUCUGCACAAGUUAAGGUUUCCUACAAACUCACCAGCCGAGGGGGUUCUGAGAAGUCAUAACUUAAACAAGCGGCAGCCAGUUCAUCUAAACUUCUUUUGAUGCCAAUACCACCCUGUGCAAACACUAUAUAUUUCAAUAUGCGGGCAUCAAAUUAAACUACUAACAAACCAAACGUACGACAAUAACCUUCAAUGAAGUAUCAGUAACCAACCUGAACAGGCAUUCCAGGGGGUUUGUUGAUGACGAUAAUGGCUGGAUCCUAAUUUCAGGAACAAAAAGAUGUAUUGGGUAAAUUAUUGUAAGCAAGAUAGCUAACUUAAUGGACACAACAGGGAUCAAAGUUAUGAACCUUAUACAACUCAAGGCUACGGAUAAAAGUGACUUCUUCUUCACUACAAUAACACUCCUUUUUAUCAUUGGGCAACUCUUGUUUAUCAUUGGGGAACUCUUGCACAGAAAGAGGAAGAUGUAUUCGAUCUCCCACGUUCAUUGAGUCUUUAGCCGCCACCUUUGGAUAAAUUAAAAUCAGAAAGAAACCAUUCCCAUAUUAUUACAAAAACCAAAACUCUAUCAAUUUAAUUUCCCUGACAAAAACAAAUACAUAAAAGCCCAGAAAAAGUAUGAAAGUAAUAGCAAUAUCAGUUACCCUUUUAAGUGGGCGCUCAAGUGCCUCAACACCUUCACCAGAACACUCCAUGUCACAAGAUUCUCUUCGAACCUGCAAAAGAAAUCAAGUAAGCUACUUUCCAAUUGGAUUUCAAAAACCCAUCUCCAAAAUGUACUCAAAAACCCAUUUCCAAACCUGUCUUAGGCGAAAGAGCUUCUGAACCAGGCUUCUAGGAAGCUCCGGGCAGCACCGAGUAACCCAUUUAAGCGCCGUGGUAGUGGUGGAGGUGGUGGAGGCAGUGGCAGUCUUCGUAAUUACAUCUCUGCCGUAUGAACGAUUGCGAGAGAGCUCCUUCCCCAAAGCGCUGCCGUUUAUGGUGGCAGUAAACGGAGGUAAAGUGAACCAUUUUUCACCGCGCUUUUCUCUGUCUUCGUGAAAUGUUUCAGUGGUGGCGUAAGAUCGCCAGUUGUGGAAGGCUGAGAUGCAGAGCCUCGCCGUGGAGGACGGUGGUGGCCGGAGGAGGAGCCGGCGGAGGAGUAUAGGGCCCAUCAUGUUUUAGAUUUUGGGGGUUUAGGCCAAAGUUGGGGGUUUUCACUUUGCUUUCUCGUAAACCCUUCGGUUUAGUAACCGGGAAAUUCAUAACGUUCUCCGGUGCCCGGUUAACUGGUAUGUCUUAUGGGCCCGGUCCGUCCAUGUUCGUUAUAGGCUUAAUAAUGCCCGGUAAUUAUUUAUUGAUGGGCUUUUUAUAAAUAGGCUUAUUCUAACAUGACAUUUUAUACAAAAAUCUUUAGAUCUCGUUUAGUUCGUGCAAAGAUUUGAUGAUAAAUAAUUUCUCAUGUCUUUUCCUAAGGAAUUUGUUUCCUCUAUAACUUGGCCCUCAAUACUCAAUCUGAGCAUGCCAUGCUAUAUGUCCUCCUCCAUUUGUCCCUUUAAAGGGGCUUAACGGUCUGACUUCGAUUUCAACAAGGAUAAAACUCAACAGAAGGAGAACAAUUAGGGCACCAAAACUUGGAGAUCUUGAAUCUCCAGUCAUUUUAGAGUAAGUCAAGUUUUGAAUUGUAUGAGAAUGUUGGUUGGUAUGGUAUUAGGCUAAUACCAUUGUCAUAAGAGGCUUUAUAUAGUGUGAAUGGAAGUCUUCUUGGUUUAAAUGAGUUUUUUGUGUUUUGCCAAAUUUGGUUUGAAUGAGUUGGAUUCUGUCUUUUCAUCACACUCUCAUCUUUUUAUUUUCCCUUCCAUGGUUGCGUUCCGUGGUAACCAAAAGAAAAAGUAAAUCCAAUGGUCAACUUAUAAAUUAGUAAUCAAUCCAUCAAUCACCAGCAAAUCUUACACCUAUAAUUAAUGUCACACAAGAUUUUUUUUUUUUUUUUUUUUAGAUAAUGAAAAAUGCAAUUGAAGUGUCGUAGAUACUAAUUUUCGUAAUUUUAGUUUUUUAAUUAAUAGGGAGAGAUAUCUAAAUUUAGAAACUCUUUUACUAUUGGGACGAAAAGUACUAGUAGACCAAAAGCUAUAAUGCAUGCAAAUAAACGCUUGAGAUAUAUGCAUUUUUUUUAAUAGAAAAAAAUAAUGGGAGUCUCAACAUAUUCUCAAGUGGUUUUGAGUUAUAUUUUUUCAUUGACAUUUUCAAUUAGUUUCAAGUUAUUAGAGUGGGUAGAUUGAUCAUAGGUGUUGUUAAUAUAAACAUCUUAUGUUGUCAGACAAUAAUUUGAAACGAGAAACAUGCUAGAAUACACAAAGUUUCAAAUAAUUAAAAAUCAAAAUUGAAGUUCGCUCCCCAAAAGAACCCAACACACUUUAUAAGCAGGCCUCCAGGAUGAGCUGAAAGAAGUGAAGAGGGCAUUGAAACCCACAUAACUUGUUUGGAUGCAAUAACAGGCUAACCAUAAACAAGUUUUAUUGCAUUCUACUCUUGAUCAUGACUGAAGUAAUAAUACUUUGGUGAAUUUGGUAUUGUUCUUACUCAUUGUAAUCACUUGUCACAUUGUCUGUGUACUUAUUCUUGACAAAUACAAGCAUCACACACAAAUACAACAGUCUGAUAAAAGCAUAUCCAACAAAAGUAAAAUUCAAAUUUAAAAAAUAAAAUAAAAUGGUGAAGCUAGCUUAGGGGUGCAUGAUAGUGGCACCAGAAUACCCGUGGCCAACACCAGGGCUGGGGCCAGAUUUGUCUUUGAUUUGAUCAGGUAGAAUCCGAGUAUGCACCCUGUCUCUGUGUCCUCCACCACCUUUGCUUGGCCCUGAACUCUUCAUCCCAACUGACAAACCCUCCAUUGUCCCUCUUUCCUUGGUCAUUGGCCGAGCUUCCAUUAACCCAACAAGACUAAAACUCAACAGCAGAAGGAGGAGAAGAACUAGACGAAGACCGCGAAAGCAUUGAGAUCUCGGAUUUCCAGUUCCAGCCAUUGAUUUAGCACUGCAGAGCAAUAUAAUUCAAGUGCUUCAAAAGUUGCAUCAGAAGAUGUCUUGGUUGGUUGGUUUAGCUAGCUAAGAGGUCUUUUUAUAGUAUCGUAUUGGAAGCUCAUGUAAUUGUAAGUCUAUUGGUUUAGAUAGCAACAGGGGUUACUUGUUAUUUAUUUAUUUGUUUAUGUACCUUUCACGUACAUCGACUCUAUAUUAGGUCUUUUUCAAGGAAAACGAACAGUUGAUUUAG
rnacentral:lncRNA from 1 species